UCUUCAUCAAGAAGUACAUUGCUCGGCUUUAGAUCACAAUGAACAAUGGACGUUUCACAAUGGUUGUGGAGAUAAUCUAACGCAGAAGCAACAUCAAUGGCUAUGUUCAAUCUUUGCAUAAAAUUCAAUCUCUUACUUGGAGGUUGCUCCUCGUCUCUAGGAUGCAACCACGAGUCAAGACUUCCAUUUCGCAUGAACUCGAAGACUAGACUUUUGAAGUCUCUACCAUGAUUAUCAAUGCUUGAGCAUGCAGUUAUGAUCUUGAGAAGAUUUCGGUGCCUGACACUUCUUAAAGCUUUGCAUUCAUCAUUGAAACUCUUAGACGCUCCUUGUUGUUGAAGGUUUAAUACCUUAACAGCAACUACCGUUCCAUCGCUAGGAAUUACCCCUUUAAAAACAGAACCAAAACUUCCCGAACCAAUCAAAUUAUCCACAGAGAAACCGUUAGUCGAAGCAACAAGCUGUGAGUAGGAAACACCUAAUUUCCAAUCCUUAUAAGAACGUGAAGUUACAAGUUCAUCUCUUGACUUUUUUAGCAUUGAACGAGCACCGAAGAAGCAUGAUAGAGCAAUUAUGAAUGCAAGUGCACAAGAUAUAGGGAUGACUACUUUUGGGGAAAGUAGUCCUCGAGAUGAAUGGUGUUUAUUUUUGGGGCAUGCAGGUUGAUGUAAUUCUGGGAUACCACCACAUAGCCUAUGAUUUCCCAGAACUGAGACACCACUGACAUUUGAAAAAAUUCCUUCUUUAGGCAACUCGCCUUCAAAAUCAUUAUGCGAAAGAUUGAGAUACUUAAGUGCUCGAAGCUUGCUUAUGAAUUCAGGAAUCUGCCCAGAUAAGUUAUUGCUUGAAAUGUCAAGUUCUUCCAAGCCCUUUAAAUCUUUAAGAGACUGAGGAAUUGUUCCUUCAAAUUUGUUGUCGUCCAAGUACAAGCCCCCCAAACUGGUACAACGGCCGAUGGUGCUGGGGAUUUCCCCUGAUAACUUGUUGUUUGAUACAUUUAGCACUGUGAGAUGCACCAAAUCACCCACUUCACUUGGCAAUGAACCAGUCAAAUAAUUUCCAGAUAGGUCUAAACGACCUGAAAGGGUUGAAAUCUCCAUAAGCUUUUUAGGUAUGCUGCCCGUUAGAUUGUUAUUAUUAAGUAAAAGUUUCAACAGGUUUUUGCAGUUUCCAAGACUUGGAGGUAUACUUCCCUCAAAACUAUUUCCGUCCAUGUAGAGCUCUGUCAAUGAAGUUAUAUUACCAAGGGAAGAUGGAAUUGGCCCGGAAAAUUUGUUAGCAUUCAAAGCUAGUCUCUUCAUCUUCUUGAGCUUCCCAAUUUCUUCGGGGACAACACCCGCCAAAUAGGUAUAAGUCAUAUCUAGAUCGGCAAGGUUUAUAAGAUUUCCAAUGCCGUUUGGGAGGCUUCCAUGUAACAAAUUAACCCCUAGAUAAAGAACUUGUAGUUGGGUCGAAAGGUUGGCUAUGGAUCUCGGGAUUUCUCCCCCAAAAUGAUUAUAGCCAAGACCCAAUUUUUUAAGACUAGUACAAUUAGCCAAGAAAUUGAGAAAACUCAAAUCACCAAGUUUUCCAUUUCCCAGUCGAUUUUCUCCAAAGUUUAGCGAAAUUAAGCUUCGCAAGCUUCCGAGACUUUCUCCAGGGACUGUCCCCGUGAAGCCAUUUGUAGAAAAAUCAAUCCUCUGAAGUCUAGAAGCAUUUGACAAUGAUACAGGAAUAUUUCCUGUGAAAUUGUUUAUAUCACAUAAAAAUACUUCGAGAUUAGGAAGCAUGAUGCCGAGAUUUGGUGGUAGCUCUCCAUGUAAUUGGUUUAUUUGAACACCGAACAUGUAUAUGGAAGAAAUAUUAUAAAUUGAAGAAGGGAGCAUACCAGACAAAUUAUUGCCCCCAACGAGGAAUAUCUGCAAGGUUGUUAUAUGCCCGAGCUCAUUUGGUAUGCUUCCUUGAAAAUUGUUGUGAGCAAGACCAAGACCUCUCAAAGAAGAAAAGUUUCCUAUCCAACCUGGGAUGGUUCCACUGAGAUCAUUUCCUCCAAGUUUUAGAAGAGUCAAACUCAACCAUGAACUGAGUUGGCGUGGAAUCGACCCAAUAAUCUUAUUGGAAAGAAGAUCGAAAACUCUUAGUUGAGUACAGUGGGACAUAUUAGUCGGAAUUUUCCCACCUAAAGAAUUGAAAGACAGGUUGAGACUUUCCAGGGUACGUAGUCGACCCAAUUCUUGAGGGAUUUCACCAUGAAACUCGUUGAUUCCCAAGCUUAUUUCAAUUAGACGAGUGAGAUUUCCAAUGGAAGGUGGAAUGGAGCCUACCAGUUGUUUAUCUUCCAGGUCCAGAAUCAAGACUCUUUGGGUGGCACGGUGGCAUGCAAUGCCUACCCAACUGCAGAAGUGGAUGGAAUGAUUCCACGAGCUCAUGACACUGAGAGGAUCUUCAGUUAUUCUUUUCUUGAAGUCUAGCAAAGCCAAGCGAUCAGAUUCGUUUCCAAGCAUGGUAGGGCUGGGAAAUGCUGCAGAUUCCGAAGAUGUGCUCAUCAUGCAUAAGACCAAGAGAAAGAAGCCAUGCAGGAAUUUCAACAAAACCGGAUUACGAAUAGUACGUGAAUGCUCCAUCAUUGUUCGAAGACAAAUGGAAACCCAGAAAACCAAAGUUUAAUUUGCACAAAAGUACAAAAGAGAAGAAAUCUUAGCACAUAUAAGAAAAAACACUUGAGAUUGGAUGGCCUCAGAAAUUUUGAUAUACCAACUUAGUAGUUAAGUCAACAGAAAUUAAGAAAUCUGUUGGAACUGUUGGAAGUUCAAAUCAAAAUAAAGUGGCCGAAAUUGGUGGCAUGUUUUGUCUAUAGCUGCCUUGGUUUUCAACAGCUAUACUUGUCUUUUACUUUGAUAGCUGUCAAUGUUUCUGUACUGGCAGAAAGCAGAGAGUGACAGCCUUCAGUAAGAAAAAACACUUGAGAUUGGAUGACCACAGAAAUUAAGAUAGACCAACUUAGUCCACAGCGUAGAAGGAACGGAAGAGUCAGACGGACUUAGUCCACAGCGUAGAAGGAACGGACGAGUCGGACCGACUUAGUCCACAGCGUAGAAGGAACGGAAGAGUCAGACCGACUUAGUCCACAGCUUCAGUUCGGUUUAGCCACCUAACAGUCUGAUCCUUGUCAUCCCCCUAGAAAGUUUUCAAUCAAAGUUAGCAUAGAACUAGGUUUUACACGAGAGAACAACUGGCGAUAGGACAGAUUUUCUCGUACUGCUUUUAUAUAUUUAUUUCUAGUCAGGGUUUGCAAAGUUAACAACGAUUGAGAAGAGAUGAGUUUAACCAGCAUCAUGUUAGAAUAUUUCUAGUCAGUAAAUACAAAAGGGCAUUGUAAGUGUUUCGUCCAGUUGAAAUCAUGUUAGAAUAUUUGGAGUAAAUUCAGAGCGAUUUCUUUUUAUUUGGAUUGCAUAAGAUUAUCAAAACACACCCAUGCUAUCGUAAACAACGUGGCCCCUUGAAUUAGUGAUCUCACACAAUCUCUAAAGGAGUGUACCAUGUCCGAAGCAUAUUAAAUGACAAUUGUUCCACCUAGCCACUUAAUUUAAAACACAACUUAAAAUGCAUCAAAAUUUAUACAAAACAUUAAGUCACAGCCUAAGAUACAUGAAUCUCAAUUUAAUAAUUAACUGAAUGGCCAAACACCAAAAUACCAAAAGCCCCGUUGAAUAAACUCUUUAUGCACUGCAUCAAGGGUACUCCCCAAACCAUCAUGAACUAAAAUAUUGAGGUUCCAAGAAGAUGAACCAAGAUUUAAUUAUCCUACCCGGGAUCUGUAUAACUGAUAACAAAGGGAUGUAUAAAACCAGACAAGGAAUUCAGGCACUUCAAUUUCUUUAAAAGAUUCAUUGUACUUACAGAAAAAGAUUCAGCCCGGGAUGGUGAAAUAUCCCUUCUAACUGUAUAGCGGCCACUGAUAAGAUCCAUAGGGAUCCUGAACAAAUUUGAAACUAAUUUUAAGCAGGUAUAUAUAAAUGGAAGUCACUUGCUUUCAUGCAGAUGAGCAAUACUCUAUAUUUGCGAAAGAGAGACAGAUUACCUGCCGAAUGCCAUCCUGAAAGUUAUUCAAAAAAUAUCUUGAAAGAGCACUCAUCCCAUCUUUAAUUAUUCCUCCAAAUGUCUGCUUCCCAUAUCUGCGGUAAUAUGGAUCCAGAAUAUGAUUAAAAAAAAAAAAGGAUAUACAAAUAUAUUGUCCAAGAUUCAAGUCACACUAGACGGUUGAAUUUACCUAACCAGGUCCCCUUUCAGGGCAUACGUCCCUGCAUACUCGAGGCUUAUCUCGUCACCUUGCUCCGCCCACACUAAAUUGAGAGUGAGUACAACAAUUUAUUAUAGACAUCGUUUGAUCAUUUAUGAAAGAUAGGAUACAAGACAUGAAAAUUUCCAUACACGCUCUAAAUGUUUGAUAGUCUUCAGCAAACAUAGAAAUGUUUUCAAAAGAAUCCAGCACUCCAGUCCUCUGCAACUGUGCAUCUAGAGACUUCUGGGCCAAGUAACUCUACAAAAUAAAGAAGCAGUAAACAAUUUAAUGUCAAAUCUCAGUUUACUCAUGCUAUGGCAUAUGGUAUAUCAUAUUAGCCCAAAUUAUUAAGAUCAAUCACACUAGGUAAUUUUCUUAGAAACCUGAGUAACAUUUGUUCUAUCUAGGCAAUCAAUGCAGUUUGAUCUGACAAUCCCUUUCUGCUCCUCCAGUAUAUUGCCUUUCGCAUCUACGGGGAAUAAUCUGCUCAACUGGAACAGUUUUGAUUAAAAAAAGUAUUACACAUAGCCAGUAUACCUUCAUUUUGGCAUACUUAAUUCAAUCAGAUAUUACGCUUUCAUUACCCUUGCCUUUCAAAUUGCUCUGAGAUGCUCGUAUAGAACCUUUAGGUUUUCAAAGUUUGAGUUACCACAUACAUGAUGAAAGUCAAAUGAAACGUAUCUGCUACAAAAACACAAGCAGUAAAUUGAGAACAAAAUCUCAUUUCUGACAUUGUUCCCAAUGCCAACCAAUAGAACUGACUUCAUUAUAAGCAACCUCGAAAAAAAAAAGGAAUCUACUUGAAGUCGGAAAAUGAUUCAGUUGGGAGCCAACAUGGUUGCAUACAUAAGUAUGCAAAUUGUCACCUCACGUUUGGUAGAUUUUGCAUUUCAGCAGAAAAUGCCGUGCUUAGUUGACCUUCAUCGCCAUGCUACAAAUAACAAUAAAUGGAAAAAUUAUAACUGGAAAUUUAUGAUACAGCAUAUACUUUGCAUACAAUUAAAAAAACAUUAAAACUUGUGUAGCACAAGCAGUCAGCUGGGAAGAAUUAUAGACAUCAUUGCUUAUUUAGCAAAUCCCAAAGCCACAAAAAGGUGAGCGUGUCGUACAAACACAAUUUGAAGGAAAAAAUUGCAAACUUUUCAGCUUAACGUAAAGGUGGAUCAGUGUGCAAGGAUUGUUAAAUUCAAAGUAAAAUGUAAAAGAAAAGAAAACCCAUACUUGAUCAGUUAGGUCUACUGCCAUUGUCUCUCCAUAUCUUUGCGAAAGAUUAAAAAAAUGGCACUCCACAACAUUUGACUGUAAGUGGAUGGGAAAAUUCAGAACACAACUCAAACAAGGGAACUGUACCAUGAAGCCAAGAAAAGAGUAAAAAGGGAUGAAUUUGCAUCUCUGGCAACAAAUUACCGUCUGCUCAUGAGUAAUAAUUCUAAGUUGUGGUUUAUAUCUCAAGUCAACAAUUUGCUCCCAAAGAAGCCGAAUUGAACCUCGAAUCUGAAAAACAUAUCAAAAAUAUUAUGGAGGGUUUUAUUCAGAAAAAAAAAAAAAAAGAAGAGACAAAUAAAUCUUCUCGUAUUAAAUUACGACAAAACUUCCAAUCUUCUAUCAGUCUUAAGGGUUAAUAGUGAAACAGUGUCUGCAUAUUUAGAAAGUAUAGUAUUGGAAAAGUUUUCUAAAUAUAUAAAAGUUGGCAAAACCAAUCUAUCCUUGCUAAACUGUACAAAAGUUUCAUCUAUGUGAGGGGCAGUCCAUCAACCUCAGAAAAGAAUGACAAAGUUCUACAAUUAUGAUAUUUCUCACAUCAACAAGGAGUGCAGAAUGUGAAGAAAGUUCAGGUUCCACCAUAAAACCAAUUGGCAAUAUGGGGAUUAGCCCAAUUUACUUAUAAGCUCAUGCAAGUUCUCUCCUCCCAUCAAUAUGGGAUUCAUUCUCAACAGAAUAUACUUUUCUCAAAUGUUUAAUCCCCGGCCAACUUAGUUGAUCAUGUGUACAAUGACACCAUGAUAUAAGCUAAUGUCCUAUUUAGGCAAAGAAACAUAAUAGUAACUAAAAAUAUUCCAAUACAAUAACACCUCAGCACACAUUUCUUUUCUGAACCUUCAUAUGAGAAUUACCUGCAAUAAUGGGGACUGGAAACCUUCAAUCUCCACCAACCGCUCAGUUUCAAUAAAAUUAGCAACAUCUCCAUCAAGGUUGGCUCCUCUUCUCCACAUUCUUGUCCCUACGGGACCACAUUACAGUGUUUCAUGUUUAAAUUCUUCAAAACAUGCAGAUACAGACACAAAAGUGAUUACAAGAAUCAAUCAUCUCUAGAAGAUUGUACCUAGACGCCGGGUACACCUCCUUGAGACUAUCGUAAGUGUGGCAGAUUAGCCCCUUAGCUUUAGCUGUGCAGUCUGGAAGCUUAAAUAUAGGUUAAGGAACACCAUAACAUAUUACUCUCCUAAACUCUGAAAGCUUAAAUAUAGGUUAAGGAACACCAUAACAUAUUACUCUCCUAAACUCUGAAUCUCAAUCUUAAGAGGGAGGGAGGGAGGAGGAUAUACACAUAAGAAAUCAGUAAAUUCAGGAUAUUUCCUUGUAUUAUAGGAAUAAUGAACCCAUCAAGCUGCCAUGAGAAAAUUAAUGAGCAUUAGCAAUAAAAUUUGUGCGCGAAGAUUUGACGACUUCUGGAAAUGCUGUUCAAAUUGUUUAACUAAUUAUGACCUCGAAGAUGGAAAGUCUAACCUUAAACUCGAUAAGUUUGUCCAAAAGAUUUCUAUUCCAAACAAAUCGAGGGUCAGCCUGAAAACACAAAUAAUGUUAAAAACUACCAAGCAAUUACUAGUCAUAGAUCGUAAUGUGUAAAGUAAUCAUUUGAUAGGAGCUAAAAUGGCAUUAAGAGAAAAGACUCAUAAACAUCCAUAUGAUAUGGUGUGUUAGUUAACUCGAUAUUCAUGCUUUCUCUUCUUCUAGUGCUGACAAAAAAAUCCUUUGGAUAAAGGGGAAGGGAAAAUCACUUGACAACCAAAAAAUUGCACAAAGGAUGACAUGUCUUCAAGGAUAUGAACUGAGAAGGCAUAUUUAUUGAGCUGAUACUUUCACCUUGAGAACAAAAGAUAAGUAUAGUGCACAAAAACGCAGAAGUAGGCAAAUCCUUAGGGCGGCUUUCCUUUCUUUCCCUAUUAACCCUCUGACUUGGAAAGAGUUGAGGAUGCCUAGUAAAGUAAACUAAACGCGUGGACAACAUAUAUGCUUAUAUGCACCUGAUGUAUAUAACAUGAAUCACUUUUAAGAACUAAUGAGGUCCCGAUAAACCCAAUAUUCCAAAUUUCCAACUAACCUGCUUCCAUAUUGGUUUGUCCAUCCAUCCUUCCACUAACUUAUAUCUUCUUUGAAAGCUGGUAGAAAUGAUCAAUUAUAUAUGAUUAAAUAAACAAAUACAACACUUUAUCGAAUAGAUACAUAAAUUGACAUGAUAAGGUUUUGAACAGUAAUCACACAACAGCUAUGAAAACAGUGGAAUGUACUUAAAAGGCACCCUAACAGAUACAAAAAAUUUUAACUUUGGCUGAGUGCUAGGCAUAAGAAUUUACUUUAGUGUUAUAUCAGUCUCGUACGAGAAGUACAGCCCCGGAGUUGAUUGGACUGUUUUCAACAGAACCAUGAAGUACGCCUGAGCACUGAAAUUCAAAACAUCCCAAGUCACACUGAAAUUCACUAACGAAUCAAAAGAAUCAAAACCCUUACCUCCUGAGCAGUUGAAUUCUUCAUACCCUCACUACAGGACAGAAACCUCAUCGAGAUCACUCGAUAAACAGGGAAGCCGAGAUAAGUCCCAACUUCCGUCCGCGAAGUUAUUACAAGAACAUAAUUUCCUGCACCAAACACAUCAAUUCAGCAAACAAACACCAUUCCCUGGAAAUAUAGCCAUUCAAUCCACAGAUCUAUACAAUACAACGGAAAAAAGCUACACAUUUUCGUUUCGAAAUACUCCAAAGCAAGUAAAAGCAAGCAAUGUUCUUACCUGUAAGCAAUCUGAUCAUUCCCGCCACUCCGUAUAUCGUCGAGGUUUUGUUUGGGGCUGCCCGGAUGAUGGGGCAACACGUCUCGAGGCUGCCAAGUGGAGGGAUUGUGUGAAGCCAAGUCAUCGUUUUUGGGUUAAAUCUUAAAUGGCUAAGUACAAAAAAAGUGUGAAGGAUGGAUUCUUUACUUGUGAGUUGUGGUUUGACUUGGACUGGACUAUUUCGAUUGAUAGAAAACUCUUGUUGUAGUUGUAAUUUAGGGCAUGCUUGCUUACUUUGCGUAUAUGAUAAUGAUAUGAAAGUGAUAUAUAAGUGACAUUGUUCAGGUACGGAAUAAGCAAGUCUCUAUUUGUACUGACAUGGUUGAAAUUAUAAACGGAACACAUUUGUUUAACAAGGGAUUCCAUUACCUUUUUAUUCCUUGCAUUUUAGUAAACGCAUGAUGUCAAGAGUGAGAAUUAUACCCACACUUUGCAUUCUCAUUCUUGGUAAGUAAACUGACCACUAUUGAGUUCAAAAGUGGUUACCAUAUUAUUCUUCCACAUGACAUUGUACAAUUAACUUGAGGUAGCAUUUUCGUUGCAUAAAAGACUAUUUUUUUAAACAAUUAUAUUCCACGUCUAAACGGAGGGGAUAAUCUACUCUAAGGGAGGGUGCUGAAAGAACUUUUUGAUACAACAAUAUUCUGCAUUUAAGCGAAUGGGAUAAUCUACUAAGGGAAGGGUGGCUGGGUUAGGCCAUACAAUGAAUCAACUAUUUACUAAGUAUUAAAUUUAACAUAAAUAUAAUACGCACUCAGGAGUUCAAACAUCCUGAGAUGCAUGCCACAUACAAAGAUUACGAGUGAGAAUUACUCAAGUCAUAAAUUGCUUGAUUAGCCACAGAAUUAGAGUAGGUUGGAAACAUAUCAAACGAGAAAAUACAACAGUCAAACAUACAAGCAGUAACAAGCAAGUUUUCUAAGAAAAAUACCUGAUUGGAAUAUUUGCUAAGCCUCAAUGAAGAACAAAACAAAAUGAUUUCCAGAAUCUAAGUGAAACUUGACCUGCUAAUGAUCAUCUUUUCUUGAAACCAUACUUUUUCCGUUCAUAGAACAGAUCUGUUUUGGCACUUCCUAGAUUCACAAUUUUUGGGCACCCAUCUCUAUCUUUCUUCUGCUGAGUACACUCUUUGCAGUAAUAAGCAUCAGAAAUUCCAACCCCUCCACAAAUAAUACACCUUCCCUGGAAAGAUCCAUAGUUGCACUCAUCGCAAACCCGAACAAGUGUGCAAGGACGCACAUAAGAGUCACAAAUUACACACUUACCGUCGCAUUUUUCACCGUCGCAUUUUUCACACAACCUUCCAAUAGCUAUUCCAGGUUGCUUUUGGCACAUAAUCAGGUCAGGAUGAUGCUUCGCCAUGUUCCUGCAACAACAGGGUAAAAUAAGCUUCUGUCCAGAGGAUCAAAUAGGGCCAAAUCACAGUAAACAGAAUCCAAAUGAUAAAAACUCGAAUCCCCAAAUUAACUAGAACCCUAGCCUAGCUGGCUGGCAGCCGACUUAGCUUUCGAGUGCCCCUCAGAUGCUCCUGCAUCCAAUGAUAACGCUAAUGCACAUUCAAAAGUUUCGAGACUAACCCAAUUUGCAAAUCUGCAUACCUUUUUAACAAUUUCAUGCCAAAUUGCAGGGUGUUUAUAUUCCCAAAUCAUGCAACUUAUCGAUCAGCUACGAGUAUUUGCAAACUCUUUUACAACUAUGCACAAAAAUAAUAAAAGUGGUUUACUUUUGUCACACCAAUUCACCAAUGCAAAGCAGUUCAUUGCCCCAUAACUCAAAUACCAAAAAAAACCCAAAAAAUCCAAAUUUUUUAAUUUCUAAUUACUCUUUCAAGUUCUGGGUGCUUCCGAUGUUUGCCUAAUUCCCAUCACAGAAAACAAAUUCUGGGAAUUAAACAUGCUGUGUAAAUAGAUGAAACGAUUAAUAAAUUGAACAGAACAGGAACCCUAAAACAGGUAAUCGAAUGCGCAUUCGGCUAGAAAUUUGAAUUUUAGAUGGAAAUAAUAAAAAUACAGCAGCAGUUUUCUACAUAUGCGAAAACAAGAGAGGAAGAACGAGAAGCGAAGAGAGCAAACCUUACCGAAGAUAGCUGGAGAGGACUCGGAUGAAGGGAUGCUACUGUAAGAGGGGAUCGGCGCGGUUGGGGGAGUUGGGCUCGGCUGACUGAGAGAGAAUCGGAUAGGGGUAAUGUAUUUUUUUUUUUUCUUUCCUUUUUGUCUGCUUUUUAAGUUUCAAUUGAAAAUUGUCGCUUAGUAUUAUAGUUUAAUAGUAUUCAACAUCAGUUGUAAGUAGAGAUUUCUUAUGUUUUGCAAAAAACGAAUUUAAACCACAUUAUUACUAAUUUGAUGCGAGACUUAGCCCACUUCUCUAUCGAUAAUAUCAUUUGUUUUUAAAAAAAUCAUCCAACUGUUGUAAACAUUCCUAGUUUAAGUAUGAUUGUGUAAAUCCUAGAUAAGAUUUGAUUCUAGUUAUCCUUUCCUAUUACAACUUGUAUUACUUGGAGGAGAAGAAAUAUCUUCUCUCCCUUUACUACUAUAAAUAAAGGCACAAUGUAGGAGGGAUAACAACACACACAUUCCCCUACAAUUCUACAAACACACAUCUCUCUCCUCUCUCUCUCUGCCGCCGGCCCUAGUCCCUUUGUCAGAUAAAAUAGACCACAACACGUUAUCAGCACGCUCCUACCGCUGCGCUUAGGAAUCUGACGUUGGAAAUUUUUUCUGCAUCAAACCAGUUCAUCCAUAUCAUCACGCAAUCAGGUUCUUUCCAAACAACGGCUUUUAACUCGAUAUUUUGCAAGCCCUGAUAGCAUGAACAUUCACCAUGAUGCAUGACCCAACUUUACGUUUUACGUAUUUUAGAUUCUACGUAAAUUGCGUAUGCUUCAUAAUCAAAAUUACUACAAUUAUGUGAAUUUGAUAUUUGUCAUGAAUUGAAUCCUACAUCUGUACAUGCAUUGAAACUAUUAUUUGCAUAUGCAUCAACGUAAAUAUGUGAUUCAUUAAAAUUAUACAUGUAAUAUAUUUGAAUUGAAAAAAAAAAAAUUUGCGAUUGGGGAAUUAGGGUUCUAGUCGAACCCGUGCCUUUGCACCAUGCAAGGCCGCAAGCCACCAGGCCCGCAGCCUGCGAUGGCCCAACCCAAACCGAGAACCCAGGCCGCAAGCCUUGAACCGAAACGGUGCGUUUGAAGCACCUUGUCCCGACCUACGGCCUGAAGCCUAGGUCCUCGCCGUCAAUUUUCCGACACAACACGACCUGCAGUCGUGCAAACUUGGACACCACCCAUCGUUUUCACCAACGAUUUCUAGAAAUUCCAGAAGAAUUUCAUGGGUCUUCACUCGAAUUCAAUUGAAUUCAUUCGGUUUUUUUUUUUCUUCCAUCGACGUCGAGAUCUCUUCUUCGUCGACAAACACCUGGUUCUUCGACGAACCAUGGCUUGCUCGACCCUGGACACACCGCCUGCCAUGGCGCCGUCCACGAACUCCGGCUUUCUUCUUCGGCAUCGCACACCCAGCACGGCUGGGAUUUCUUUUGGGUCUCUUUCCCGAACCCUACUCGGGCUCUGUCUCUCGGCCCGUGUAACAAAAGAAAAAAACAAUUUUUUUUGCUGGGCUCGCUUGCAGCGGCCCAGCCCACAAAGGAAACAAUUUGUUUUUUUUUUAUUUUUCCUGGGCUCGCCUGCAGCGGCCCAUACCGAAAAAAAGAGAAAUUUUUUUAGGGCUGCACACAGCAGCCCAUUCCUUUCUCACCCCGUGGGCCUGCAGCCUACACCCGGGGGUACUCGGCCUAUAUUUUUAGGCCCCGAGAUUUUAUUAUUUAAUUUUUUUUAAAUAAUAUGGGUUUUUAUAUUUUCACCCACACUUUAAUUUGGCCCCGAAGACCAAAAAUAAAUUAAUUCACUUAUCAUUAUACAAUAUUUCUGCAUAUAUUCUUUGCAUAUUUGUUUGCAUAUAUAUUUGUGUUUGCCUGCAGGAAUAUAUGAACCUGAAGUUCAUAAUUACUUUGAAACCCGAAGUUUCUUAUACACAUGCCUUGUUAGAAAACCCGAAGUUUUCACUUAAACAUAUCACCCAUGAAAACCCGAAGUUUUUCAUGCAAAAUUCAACCAAUACAUGUCUAUUAGAACCUGUAUGUUCUACUCCUAUGUGAAUGGAUUGAUUUUUCUCCAUUACACUAACCACAUCUUGUCCAUCUAAUUUUGUGAUAGGAACAUGUCGAACUUGAACAAACUCGACUUCACCGCUUUGGAGGUUUCUGGAAGGAACUACCUCAAGUGGGUUCAAGAUGUGAAGCUCCACCUCACUGCAAAGAACUUGCGUCCUGCUAUUGAAGAAGCAACAGAUAAACCUGUUGGCGAGGCUGAAAAAGCCACUGCUAUGAUCUUCAUCCGAAGACAUAUCCAUGACGCCCUACAAACUGAGUACCUUGCUGAGGAGGAUCCACGUGCAUUAUGGGUCGCUUUGGCUGAUCGUUUCGAUCACCAAAAGGACAUAUUCUUGCCUGAAGCAAGACACGACUGGCAGCAUUUGCGCUUCCAAGACUUUAAGUCUGUGAAUGAAUAUAAUUCUGAAGUUUGUCGAAUCCGAUCACUUCUCAAGUUUUGCAAUGAAACUUUGACUGAAGAGGAUCUCCUGGAGAAGACCUACUCGACCUUCUCUGCUUCUAAUAUUGUCCUGCAGCAACAAUAUAGAGCUCAGAAGUUCACUAAGUUCUCGGAUUUGAUCUCUGUUUUACUUCUUGCUGAAAAGCAGAACCAGCUGUUGAUGAAGAAUCAUCAAGCUCGACCUACUGGGGCUACUGCUGUGCCUGAAGCACAUUAUAGCACUAAUCAGCACCCAAAACGCCAAAAGAGGCGUGGUAAGGGUGGCCAGAAGCCAUCCCACCAAGGUCAACAGAGCCAAGGCCCAUCCAAGGGAGGAAACAAAGCCCAGAAGCGCCCAAACCUCGCUCCUAAGGCCCCGAACUUCAAGAAUAAAGGGCAAAGCACCUGCCACAAUGAAUGACGAUAUGUGCUAUCGUUGUGGUUCCAAGGACCAUUGGUCCCGUAUUUGCCGUGCUCCCAAGAAGGUUGUGGAUGCAUAUCAUUCUCGUCGUACAAAGUUUGAAUCAAACUUCCUGCAAGUGGACGAACCGGAGACUACAAAGAUGGAGGUUUCUGAUUUUCAGGAGGAUACCACUCCUAUGGAAGAUUAGAAUCUUAGACAUAGACUUAUUUUUCAGUUAAAAUAAGACAAUUGGGGCCGAAUUCCACCUUGUGGCCGAACCCCACCUUGUUUUUUGGUUGAUUUUGAACAAUUUUCCUUUAUGUUUUGGAUUAUUAGUUGGCGAUUUAUUUUGGAUAUUAAGUUUUUAAUCCUUGAAUAAAUGAAAUUAUUUUGAAUUGAUACUUGUUUUUAUAAACUUUUAUACAUGUGACCGAUUCAAAUUAAUUUUUCAUUCUAGGUAUGACUAGUGGGAAAGUUAGUUGUCUGGCAGAUAGUGCAACCACGCAUACUGUUUUGCGUGAACGCAUCUAUUUCACUAACUUCGUACCUAAGAAUGCACCUCUGACAACCCUCUCAGGCCCAUCCAACCUGAUCGAAGGAUACGGUAAGGCACGUAUAAUGUUGUCCAAUGGUACAAUCUUGACCAUUGCUGAGGCACUCUAUUCUCCACGUUCCGGAAGAACGUUACUCAGUUUCAAGGACAUUAGAGAUAAAAAUUACCACGCUGAAACCCACGUAGAAAACAGAGUUGAAUUUCUGUGCGUAACUUCCUACGAAUAUGGCUAGAAGCGUAUUCUAGAGAAGAUGGAGCGUAACCCGAGUGGUCUGUAUACUACGACCAUACGCCCCAUAGAAUGCCACUCUGUGGCCGGCCCUACCACAGGGACCGCGCACGAAAUUACACUUUGGCAUGAUCGUUUGGGACAUCCUGGACGAAUAGCGAUGCGCCGUAUCCUCAAAACUUCACACGGGCAUCCACUAACCCGAAGCUUAGGUUCGAUCCAUGAAAUUGCAUGUCAAACAUGUUCUAUGGGAAAGCUUAUUACUAAGCCUUCUUAUGACAAGAUUCGUUCGAAUCCUCCCAUUUUUCUACAACGGAUUCAGGGGGACAUUUGUGGACCGAUUCAACCUUCAACCCUGCGGACCAUUUAGAUAUUUUAUGGUUUUGGUUGACGCUUCUACACGUUGGUCACACGUGUGCUUGUUGUCCACAAGGAACGCUGCAUUCUCCAAACUGUUGGCUCAGGUUAUCAAGCUCAGGGCUCACCACCCUGAUUAUCCGAUCAAAUCUAUUCGAUUGGAUAAUGCUGGAGCAUUCACAUCUAAAACUUUUGAUGACUAUUGCAUGUCGGUUGGGGUUGAAGUUGAACAUCAUGUACCCCAUGUUCACACCCAGAACGGCCUGGCAGAGGCUUUCAUUAAGCGUUUACAAAUGAUUGCUCGAUCGUUGGUCAUACGUACCAAGUUCCCGAUCGCUGCUUGGGGCAAUGCAAUAUUGCACGCAGCAAAGUUGGUCCGCCUGAGGCCUGUUGCGACACAACCAUUUAGUGCCAUUCAGUUGGUCACCGGAUGCGAACCCGACAUAUCGCAUCUGCGCGUUUUUGGUUGUGCGGUCUAUGUGCCGAUCUCGCCGCCCUUACGUACAAAAAUGGGGCCUCAGCGAAGGAUGGGAAUCUAUGUCGGAUAUGAUUCUCCUUCGAUUAUUCGUUACUUAGAACCUUUGACAGGCGAUCUGUUUACCGCUCGUUUCGCGGAUUGUCACUUCUAUGAGACAGUCUUCCCGUCGUUAGGGGGAGAUAAGAACGUCAACGUUCCUAAUGAACGACGCGAAUUAUCGUGGACGACUCCCACUUUGUCUCAUUUAGAUCCCCGCACCGCUCAGUCUGAAGCUGAAGUGCAGCGCAUAUUAGAUCUCCAGAGCAUAGCUCAGAGCAUGCCAGAUGCUUUCACCGAUCUAGCGCGCGUGACAAGAUCACAUAUUCCAGCUGCGAAUACGCCUGCAAAGAUGGAUGUACCAAAUGUACGACGGACUACCCUCCUGGAAGCCCGGGACGCCAAUUCUGGUGAUCCACGUACAUUAGCGGCUAGCCAAUCAUCUGCCCCUAUACAAAAGCGUGGCAGACCCCUUGGUUCAAAGGAUUCACACCCCCGGAAGAGGAAAAUCACGGCACAAGGUCCUGAAGAGCCUACCGUGAAUCCGACUAUCGCUUACUCAUUUUACCCAACUCAUGAGGAAAUUCUAGAUUAUGGAAGCGUCCUUGAAGAGACGAAUCCUCCUCCCGAGAAUCGUGAGAUUUCGGUCUAUUAUGCUAGCUUAGAUGAUGUGUGGCGUAGAAAUGAGAUGAUUGUCGACGAUGCAUUAGCAUUUGCAGUAGCUACUGAGAUCAUGUUGAGCGAUGACAUUGAACCGCGUUCCGUUGAUGAAUGUCGACAUAGAGCUGAUUGGUCAAACUGGAAACAAGCAAUCCAAGUCGAACUUGAUUCACUUGCGAAACGUAAGGUGUUUGGACCUGUAGUUCCUACUCCUCCACAUGUGAAGCCCGUUGGCUACAAGUGGGUUUUCGUUCGGAAGCGUAAUGAGAAGAACGAAAUUGUGCGUUACAAAGCUCGUCUUGUAGCACAAGGUUUCUCACAACGCCCCGGGAUUGACUAUGACGAAACUUACUCACCCGUUAUAGAUGUGAUUACUUUUCGAUACCUUAUCAGUUUGGUAGUUUCCGAAAAACUGGACAUGCAGCUGAUGGACGUAGUAACCGCGUAUCUCUAUGGGGAUCUUGAUACGGAAAUUUAUAUGAAAGUUCCCGAAGGACUUACAUUGACUGGUUCAAAUAUUUCCAAACCCCGGAACACGCUCUCAAUUCGGCUGAGGCGUUCACUAUACGGUUUGAAACAAUCCGGAAGAAUGUGGUAUAACCGUUUAAGUGAGUAUUUGACUAGUCAGGGAUAUGUGAAUAACGAACUAUGCCCUUGUGUGUUCAUUAAGAAGUCACAUUCCGGAUUUGCGAUUGUUGCAGUAUAUGUCGAUGACAUGAAUGACAUCGGAAUCUCAUCUCGCUCCUGAAGAGCUUUGAAAAAUUGAGAUGAAAGAUCUAGAAGACUCGACUGCUUCGGUCUCGAGAUAGGCAUUGUCAGUAAUCCUAGAAUGAAUCGAUGAGCAAAGCCCAGAAGUCUUCCUUUUAAGAGGUCUUCGAACUAGGCGUUUUUGAUCGUCCUAGUCAUGCAAAGCGAGAUCCCUUUUUGGAUGAAAGAUUUGGAGCCUGAAGUUCCGAUAAGCGCUUUACCUAAUUAGCUCAAGCACUUCACUCGACCAUCUCCUUCGCUGUUAAUUUUUGGCAAAGAUACAGCAAUGCACCAACACGCAGACAUUGGACGUGAAAGACAUCUUCCGUACCUUAAGGUAAAAGAUCUACGGGCUCUUAUUCUGGGCUUAUCCCUACGAAUCCUCGAGUGAUGCCGCACACCUAUGCUCAUCGGGUUGAUUCUCGCCUUGUUGGUUAUUAUGCCGACGCUGGAUACUUAUCUGAUCUGCACAAGGCGCGUUCUCAAACGGGUUAUGUCUUUACCGUUGGAGGCACCGCAAUAUCUUGGAGGUCAACUAAACAGACCUUAGUUGCCACUUCGUCUAACCAUGCUAAAAUUCUCGCCUUACAUGAAGCAACUCGGGAAUGCUUUUGGUUGAGAGCAGUAGUGGGCCAUAUUCGAAGCUCCUGUGAUCUUCAUCCCGCCGUUAAUGCCCCGACGACGAUUUUUGAAGACAACGCAGCUUGCAUCGAACAUCUCAAUAAGGGUUACAUCAAAGGAGACAACAUCAAGCAUAUUGCGCCGAAGUUCUUCUUUACACAUCAACAACAAGAGCAUCAGAAGAUUGAAGUCACGCAAAUCCGAUCACAAGACAAUCUGGCCGACCUCUUCACCAAAUCACUACCGAAGGCGACGUUUCAGAAGCUUGUUCAUGGAAUUGGUAUGCGUAAACUUUCUAAGUUGUAACUUUGCUAUUUCUCUUUGGAAUUAUGUCAAACUCAGGGGGAGUAUCUUCUAGAUACUUGCUUGAUCUUAAUGUACUCUUUUUCCCUACGAUUAGGAGCAUUUUUCCCACUAGGUUUUUGCUACCUAACUAGGUUUUAACGAGGCACCCACCUUGGGCUGGUCAUAUCCCUGAUGACGUCCUGUAGACGUUUCUUUUGACUUUACAUUUCUCACGCAUUUUUCCUUAGACUAUGGAUUUUGUCCCUACUUGGGUUUUUGCCAUAGCCUUAGGGUUUUUUAGUGAGACUCACUACUUAUGCAAGUUCCUACCUUAUUGAGAAUAAGCGUUGUUCCUUGGAAUCAGUGCUGACGAGUCGACUUCCUCAACUUCUGCAUGAUGCUGAAUCUACCUUGAGUAUUUACCCACUCAAGGGGGAGUGUUGUAAACAUUCCUAGUUUAAGUAUGAUUGUGUAAAUCCUAGAUAAGAUUUGAUUCUAGUUAUCCUUUCCUAUUACAACUUGUAUUACUUGGAGGAGAAGAAAUAUCUUCUCUCCCUUUACUACUAUAAAUAAAGGCACAAUGUAGGAGGGAUAACAACACACACAUUCCCCUACAAUUCUACAAACACACAUCUCUCUCCUCUCUCUCUCUGCCGCCGGCCCUAGUCCCUUUGUCAGAUAAAAUAGACCACAACACCAACAAGAUUUUUUUUUUACUUAUUAAUUUUAUGUUGUAAAAGGGAAUGAUCUAAUAUAAAAAUAUUAGGACAAAAGACAAUUUAUUACCUUCAUGUUUAGUGGUUUUCAACAUUUAGUACAUCAAUUGUUUUUCAUCCCAGAGUCAUACCUAAAGUGUAAAUUUUGGAACAGUCUCAUACAGCCGUUAGUCAAACUGUUAGUUCACCCGUUAAGUAAUGACGUGGCGUCCUGAUUGGGCGCAAUGUGUCAUUAAAAAAUAUUAAAAAUUUAUUUAAAUAAAAAUAAAAUUUAAAAAAAAUUUAAAAAAAAUUUAAAUUAAAAUAAUAUUAAAAUAAUAAUAAAAUAUUUAUUUUUUCUUCUUCUCUUCUUCUUCUUCUUCUUCUUCUUCUUCUUCUUCUUCUUCUUCUUCUUCUUCUGGGUUCGGUUUCUCUCCUUUUCUUUUCUUCUUCCUCCUCCUUCUCCUUCUUCUUCCUUCUCCUUCCUCCUCCUUCUCCUCCUUCUUCUUCUCCUUCUUCUUCUUCCUCAAUAAUAUUAUAAAAAAAAAAAAAAAAAAACCCACCUGCAAAGAAGGAGAAAGAGGAGGAAGAGAAGAAAAAAAAAUAAUACCCGAACCCAGAAGAAGGAGGAAGAAGAAGGAGGAGGAGGAGCAGAAGAAGAAGAAAGAAAGGGAAAAAAAAUCGAAUCCAGAAGGAGGAAGAAGAAGAAGAAGAAGGAAGAAGGAGGAGGAGGAGAAAGGAGGAGGAGGAGAAGAAGAAGAAGGAGAAGAAAGAAAAGAAAAGAAAAACAACCGAACCCAGAAGAAGAAGAGGAAGAAGAAGGAAGAAGAAGAGGAAGAAGAAGGAAGAAGAAGAAGGAGGAGAAGGAAAAAAAAAACAACCGAACCCAGAAAAGAAGAGGAAGAAGAAGGAAGAAGAAGGAGAAGAAGAAGGAGGAGGAAGGAGAAGGAAGAAGAAGGAGAAGGAGGAGGAAGAAGAAGAAAAAAAAAAGAAGGGAAACCGAACCCAGAAGAAGAAGAAGAAAAAGAAGAAGAAGAAGAAGAAGAGAAGAAGAAAUUUUUUUUUUUUUUAUUAUUUUAAUAUUAUUUUUAUUUAAAUAAAUUUUUAAUAUUUUUUAAUGAUACGUGGCGCCCAAUCAGGGCACCACGUCAUCACUUAACGUGAGAACUAACAGUUUGACUAACGGAUGUAUGAGACUAUCCCAAAAUUUACACUUUAGAUAUGACUCUGGGAUGAAAAAAAAUUGAUGUACUAAAUGUUGAAAACCACUAAACAUGAGGGUAGUAAACUGUCUUUUGUCCAUAAUAUUAAAUUUAUUCACAGAAAACAUAAAAGAAUGGAAUAAUAGGUUUUUGAGUCAUACUAGCUUAUUCAUGACUAUAAAGUCAACUCAAGCAAAGGUUUUAGAGAGAACAUGACACAAUAUAGAAAUUCAUGUAAGCUAAAUCAAGGCUAGAGAGAAGAAAAAAAGUGAGAAUUAUAUUUAUACUCCUAUUAUUUGAAAUAAUGAAAGCCUACAAACUAAAUAUGUAGUAUUAGUUUCUAGUUAAAUCUUGAUUAUUCUUGUAUAUCUCUUUGAGUGUUUGGGCUUUGUUUUAGGAGUGUGUAAAACUUUGACAAACAAUAGGCGUAAUGUCAGGCAUAACUGUAUCCACAAAGCUUAUUCGCAUAUUCCUUUUGCACAUUAUAUGUGGGGGCGAAUAGAGUAUGAAAGACAGCAUAUUUAUAUGUGCCUUGAAACAAUCUUUCAUCCUUCAUCACAACCAUAAAAUAAAUAAAUCCAACAAAACUUGUGUAGCACGCAAAGAAUUCCAUACACGCUUUAAAUGUUUAUUGUAGACAUUGUUUGAUCAUUUAUGAAAGAUAGGAUACAUGACACAAAGAAUUCCAUACAUGGUUUAAAUGUUUGAUAGUCUUCAGCAAACACAGAAAUGCUUUCAGAAGAAUCCAGCACUCCAGUCCUCUGCAACUGUGCAUCUAGAGACUUCUGGGCCAAGUAACUCUACAAAAUAAAGAAGCGGUAAACAAUUUAAUGUCAAAUCUCAGUUUACUCAUGCUAUGGCAUAUGGUAUAUCAUAUUACCACAAAUUAUUAAGAUCAAUCACACUAGGUAAUUUUCUUAGAAACCUGAGUAACAUUUGUUCUAUCAAGGCAACCAAUGCAGUUUGAUCUGACAAUCCCUUUCUGCUCCUCCAGUAUAUUGCCUUUCGCAUCUACGGGGAAGUAUCUGCUCAGCUGGAACAGUUUUGAUUAAAAACAGUAUUACAUAUAGCCAGCAUACAUGGAUUUUGGCAUAUUUAAUUCAAUCAGAUACUACACUUUCAUUACCCUUGCUUUUCAAAUUGCUCUGAGAUCUGCUCGUAUAGAACCUUUAGGUUUUCAAAGUUUGAGUUACCACAUACUUGAUGGAAGUCAAAUGAAACGUAUCUACAACAAAAACACUAGCAAGUUGAGAACAAAAUCUCAUUUCUGACAUUGUUCCCAAUGCCAACCAAUAGAACUGACUUCAUCAUAGGCAACCUCGAAAACAAAAAAGGAAUCUACUUGCAGUGGGACAAUGAUUCAGUUGGGAGCCAACAUAGAUAUGCAAAUUGUCACCUCACAUUUGAUAGAUUUUGCAUUUCAGCAGAAAAUGCCGUACUUAGUUGACCUUCAUCGCCAUGCUACAAAUAACAAUAAACGGAAAAUUAUAACAACGGGAAAUUUAUGAAACAACAUAUACUUUGCAUACAAUUAAAAAAACAGUAAAACUUGUGUAGCACAAGCAGUCAGCUGGGAAGAAUUAUAGACAUCAUUGCUUAUUUAGCAAAUCCCAGAGCUACAAAAAGGUGAGCAUGUCGUACAAACACAAUUUGAAGGAAAAAAAAUUGCAAACUUUUCAGCUUAACGUAAAGGUGAACCAGUGUGCAAGGAUUGUUAAAUUAAAAUUAAAAUGUAAAAGAAAAGAAACCCAUACUUUUUUCUUUUUUUUUCUUGAAAACUAAGAAACCCAUACUUUAUCAGUUGGGUCUACUGCCAUUGUCUCUCCAUAUCUUUGCGAAAGAUAAAAAAAAUGGCGCUCCAUAACAUUUGACUGUAAGUGGAUGGGAAAAUUCAGAACACACAACUCAAUCAAGGGAACUGUACCAUGAAGCCAAGAAAAGAGUAAAAGGGGAUGGAACUGCCAUUGUCUCUCAUGAGUAAUAAUUCUAAGUUGUGGUUUAUAGCUCAAGUCAACAAUUUACUCCCAAAGAAGCGGAAUUGAACCUCGAAUCGAGAAGUACAGCCCCGGCGUUGAUUGGACUGUUUUCAACAGAGCCAUGAAGUACGCCUCAUCCUUUUUCUGCAGAAACACAUCACAAAUUCAAACUAUCCCAAGUCACACUGAAAUUCGCUAACGAAUCAAAACCCUUACCUCCUGAGCAGUUGAAUUCUUCAUACCCUCGUUGCAGGACAGAAACCUCAUCGAGGUCACUCGAUAAACAGGGAAGCCGAGAUUAGUCCCAACUUCCGUCCACGAAGUUAUUACAAGAACAUAAUUUCCUGCACCAAACACAUCAAUUUCCUGGAAAUAUAGCCAUUCAAUCCACAGAUUUAUACAAUACAACGGAAAAAAGUUACACAUUUUGGUUCGAAAUACUCCAAAGCGAGUAAAAGCAAGCAAUUGACUUACUUGUAAGCAAUCUGAUCGUUCCCGCCACUCCGUAUAUCGUCGAGGUUUUGUUUGGGGCUGCCCGGAUGAGGGGUUUUGGUUUGGGGCUGCCCAUUCUUGGUAAGUAAACAGACUUUGCAUCCUCAUUCUUGGUAAGUAAACAGACGUUCAAAAGUGGUUACCAUAUUAUUCUUCCACACGACAGUGUACAACUAACUUGAGGUAGCAUUUUCAUUGAAUAAAAGACUAUUUUUUUAAACAAUUAUAUUCCACGUCUAAACGGAGGGGAUAAUCUACUCUAAGGGAGGGUGCUGAAAGAACUUUUUGAUACAACAAUAUUCUACAUUUAAGCGGAUGGGGUAAUCUACUAAGGGGUAGCUGGGUUAGGCCGUACAAUGAAUCAACUAUUUACUAAGUAUUAAACUUAACAUAAAUAUAAUACAUCAUUACUAUCAAUGUGCGUCAAACUUGAGACGUCUCACUAAUUUGAACACUAAUUGGACUAACUUGAACUUGAUCUUGAUCUCAUUAUGUUUCAGUCCCUGUCAUUAAACUAGCCACUAGUGUGUGUGAUGAUGGGACAAAAUAAUAAAAUGGGGUUGCAGAUAGUUGAUUUCCGGUAGCAGUGAAGUUGAAGGGUAGGCGACAAAUUUGCCUUGACUUUUAGUGACGAGAGAAUUUGGUUGGCAUGAGAAAAUAAAGUGGGGGUGCAGCCUCCAAGUGAUUGCUGGUAGCAGUGAAGUUGAAGGGUAGGCGACAAAUUUGCCUUGACUUUUAGUGAUGAGAGAAUUUGGUUGGCAUGAGAAACGUUCAGCAAACAAGCUGUUGCGCUGCUUGAAUAGAGAAAAUUGGUUCAUGACGUGUUGCUGCAAGUGAUAAUCCUUUAGCAGAUGUUGGUGUUGCCAAUUGGCAUUUUUUACCAGCCAAUGAUGCUUGUGGUGGCUACUACGUGGCAUGGGAGUUAAAAAAUUGGUUCUUAUCGGGUAAGAUUUCUCUCCGGAUCUGUGUGCUUCAAAUUCUGAGGACCAAGUUAUCUUGGCCGUUUGAUUCAAAUCCUCCGGUCAGACAUCUUUCUUUCCCUUCCUCUUCUUCUUGGAAAUCAAAGACGGAGAAGAACUCUUGGGUCUCACUCACUGAGAAUUCAUCGACGCAAUAAAGAGAUUCGUUGUUCCUGAUCCUACUUCACCUUAAUUGUUAUUUGAACAAGUAAAAAUUAUGUCUUGGUCCGAGUGGGGAUAGCAUUUCUCUUCUGCAUGUUCAUGGAGUUUUUGAAAAAUCCAAACAUCUCAGAGAUAGAGAGGUAGGAAAUUAUGGAACAAACCGCACUCCUUCGUAUACGUCAGGAGUCCAUUGAUGAGAAGGGGUUAGGGAAAGCUUGAACCCAAUUCCUACGGUGAUGAAUAUAAGCGCAAUUGAAAUUCCUGGGGACCUCCAACGCCGAUUAGGAGGAAACCACCCUACCGCUGCGACUCCGAACAAACGGAUAAAGACUGGCCUGCUGGUGGCCGAUAUGAUCCUCGCCUACUUGUCGAUGGCGGCGAGAGGAAGAAGGGCAUGCUGGUCACGAGGGCAAGGGUUACGAGUUCUACACCAAUUGCGAGCAGAAAGGAUCCUUAGCCGAGGAUCCAGAGAUGAUCUUACCCCUUCUUAUCACCUAAAUAACUCAACAAGUCUCUUAAUUUUAUAUACACGAAGUGGAAAAUCCAAGGAGGUUGAACUUGUGUCAUGACCAACAAUAAAACGAUUUGUUAAUUAUUCAUCCCCAUAAGUGUAUUCAUGUGCUUCCGUUUCUCGUACACGUCAGAAUGUUUUGUUGAAAUUUAAAUAUACAAAAGCUUAUUAUAUUAACACCCCACGUAUUGUUGAAUAAACCUCACUACUUAAUACACCCUACAUUUGCUUUUUUAAUUAAAAAUUAUCUUAAUACACCCACAUACUUCCCCAUAAUACCCUCAUACCCCACAUUCUCAACAUACACUUCACAUUUUCUCCAUACACCCCACAUUUUUCAAAUCUUAUAACACUCAUUUUUAAAUGUCUUAUGAUUUUGUAUUUCGUUCUACUCUGUUGUUUUUCGUUCAUUUUUAAACGGCUUAGUUGGCUCAUUGAACUGUGACUCAAGUUUACUGCUUCACCAUCCAAAUCAUGCUCUAACGUCUUAGAAAUUAAACGUCUUAUGAUUUUAUUUUUCGUUCUACUCUGUUGUUCAGGCAAGGGCUUGCCUGUGUAGCCUAUUAAUUUUAGAUGGUGAUUUUUAUACAUGUGAACUUUUAAGUUGUGCUUUGAUGUAGUAUCUUACGAAGCAAUAUUUGGCUCGUGUAAUGAAACCAAAAGCUCUUACCAAUUUGUAGGCAUUUUUCGUAUGAAAAAUUAUGGUUUGCUAACAAAUUUUAUAGCUAUUGGAUAUCUGUGUUCAUCCUAUUUGAAGUAUUCAAGCUUCCUUAAUGCUCUGUACUUUCUAUUUUGUUAGAUAAACCUUGUUGAAAAUAACCAUAAAAAAAAUGAAGAGUUGGAGGAGUUUUGAUAAUUGAUGAAGAUAAAUAAUAAAAGUGAUUUGUGGUGUAUUUAUAAAUUUUUUAUUUUUUUAAAACCUAAUAAGAUCAAAAUUGUUAUUGCAUAGUAGGAUAUAUAAAUCAUUUAGUAUUAAAAUUUAAUAUAGGGUGCAUUCAAUAUUUUUUGAGGUGCUAAUAUAAAAAGAGAGAUGAUAUAGAUAUACCCACCCACCAACACUAUUUCUCCACCCACUUUUUAAUGAUACUUUUAAUGACAACUCUAACCUUUUGCAAAAUGACUUAUAAGGCCAUCUUUAACUAUUUUAUUAUUUUAUUAUUUUAUUUUUGUAUUAAAUUCUAAAAAUAGAAGGAACAAAAACAUGAGCCUAACAAGUUGAAACCACCGCACACGGCACCAACCAAGUUGAAUCCACCGUUUUCCUCAUCUCUUAUGUCAAGUCCUUCCCAUCCAUUCGAAAUCUUCAUCAAACACCAUAGACCCAUUAUAAUUACCUUAAGACACCUUACUCUUUUUCUCUCAUACCCAUUUAUAGUUUUGGCAAUCCGUGUGGAACUGUGCUCAGUUCAUCUAAUUGACGUGGUUUUGAUACCCCUAUUCUACGAUUAGUCCUCUACUUGAGUUGUAAUUGGAGAGAGCGACUACGAGGUUGACCGAGGAUGUUGCUCAUCCUCAUAGUCUUGAUUAAAUUAGAGACAUGGUUGGCUGACUGUGAGAAGGAGGUUGCUUGCCGUCAAGUGGGUGAACUUGUGGCGGUGGCUAAUUUUCUUUGUAAGGGAUAGUUUAGGAAUAUCAGUGGGUGGGAAAAGAGUGUUUUUCAUUUUUACCUUUUGAGUGGGGUGGGAAAAUAAGAUGGGGUGGGAAAAUAGGAUUGUAGGGUGAGUCUAGUAACUCUCUAUAAAAAGCCAUUUACUAAAGCAAAAUGAGAAAAACACUGUUCUAAGCAACAAUGUUUGGACAUUUUUGCCCUUAUUUUAAGGGAGUUUUAACAAAACGCUCCCGGUACUGUUCACUUUUAACGAAAAAUCACAUUUUUACUUUUAACUGUCACUAUUCAUUAUACCUUUAAAAAUGGUUUUUCGUUCAAAGUGAAGUUUUUUGAACUUUUCGUUAGUUUUCCUUUAUUUUAAUGAUCCUGUGUUCCCACUUUUUGCGCUUUUACAAUGAAAUUCCCAAAUUGCCCUACAGGCAGACGUGUAUAUGGAAAAAGGUUUUCCACGCAUGGCAUGCUAGGGAGAUUUGCAGCACCGCUUCAUUCCUCUCCUCUGCACCGUUUCCUUCCUCUUCCACUUGGAAUUGAUACAGAAUACCGCUCAACCAAAUUUUCUCACCAUUUCGUUCCGUACUUCUCCACCUCUUCAUUCGUGCUGCACUAUGAAUCGAAACAAAAAACCCAAUCAAUUUCAGUUAACUCAAAUCCUUAAAACCCAAAUUUCUCCAGAUCGUUGGAAUCAAUUUGCUUUUGUUGUUGCUAAUCUACAGGUAAAGCUUAAAUUUACAUACAAUUUUUUAUUUUUCUUGAUUGGAGUUUGAAAAGAAUUAGUUGUUCUUGGAAAUAAUUACAGAAAAUUGGAAAAGGGAAAUGGGAAAGCGAGGAAAUGCAUGCAAAUGGGUUUGAGAAAAUGCCUUUUCUUUGGCAUUCGCUUUUGGCUUUCAUCCUUUAUGUGUAUGUCUUCACUGGAUGAGCUUUGUUUUCCUUUUUUGAUUUUGUUGAUUUUUUUUUCUUUUCCCCAUUUGGGCUAAAUAGUUCUCAAACUUCUGAGCGAUUAUCGAUAAUCGUUGUUGUUGUGAAUAAAUUUAGUCAAUGACUUACUAAAACACCAAUUCUCCAAAGCCAGAGCACUAUUAGAUGAGGCUUUGCGAAAAAAAAAAAUUGGGAUAGACAGGGCUCACAAGGAAAUUUGAGCUUUUGUCAGAUAAAAUAUCUUUUUUUUUUUAAUUCAUGUUAAUUUGCAGUAAUUUAUUUUAUUUAAUUUGGUUUUUAAUUCUUUUGUUGUUAUUUUAUGAUUAUGGGGGUUUUGUUUUCAGACUCGAACGCCGUUGUCUUCCCAAGUCCUCUGUAAUCAAGGUAAGCAAUUUGAAAAUUUUGGCGGAUUGAAAUCAGAGUUUCAAUUUACACAUUUGUUUAGAUUUGACUUUAUUGAAGCCAAUUUAUGCAUAUUUUCCAUCAGCUUUUUCUUAUGUUACUUUGGAUAGGUCCUGUUGUCCAGAUUUUGAGCAUCUUCUUUUGGGAGUGAUUAAUAGCUGCUGUGACAGGUUAGUUUUUUACUCUUUCUAAAAAAAAAUUAUGCAUAGUAUUUAAAUCUUGUAGCAUUUUAAAAUUCUUGCUUCUGUGGUUGUGAUAUGAUAUAUGUAUUUGCUUUAUUUAAUUACAAUUUAGGUGUGAUGAAAAAUUUAAAAUUUAACUUCAUUAUUUUCUUCCCAGCUAUCAAUCUAUAGUUUGGCAUUUACAAUUUUUUUGCACAUGAUGCGAAAAAGAACUAUAAAUAGCAAAAGAAAUCAGGGAAUACAAGAAGAUCAUACUUCUGACACUGCAAAUGGAAUAGAAAUGUUUAAUGAAAAUGUUUGCCAUGCUGAUGGUGCACAUACGUUGCCUGAAAGCUCUUCCAAACAAAAAAGAAAGAAGAAAGUAGGUGCAUUUUAACUCACAAUGUUCCAAUGGCCAAAAGGCGCUGAAUCGGGUCGAAAGCAAGAAUGGACGCCGUGGAUGGGAUGUCAUAGUGAACUGCAACUCGCAGGUCCAAGUCUUCCGCCGUCAAACUCCCGUGUGGCAAAUUAUGCUGAAACCAACAAUUUCCAAUACAAAAUCCCAAUUAAAAAAAAAUGGGUAAGUAUCAGUCCAAAUGUCGAUACCAAGAGGCUCCAAAUUCAUACAAUCCAAGUAUUCGAGCAUAAAAUACACUGAAAUGAAUAAAAAAAAUCAUAAAAAAUAAUCCAUUGAUGCAAUAUCCAAUUUUCCAGGAUACUAACAAGAUAAAGCAUCGGAAUUUAAUCCACCCCAACAAAAAAGAAAUGGAAUUUUAACCAAAAAACGCAAAUUACGAAGCUAAACUGAAAAAUUCGAAAAAAAUAUAACAGAAAAAAGUGGCGGCGAUCGAAUGCUUGGGAAUACGAUUUUACCUGAGAGUUGUUUAUGGCUUUCUGCAAAAGCCGCUUGGCGAAGAUCGCGAAUUCGAAUUUGCAGCUGAAAUCUUUGGCUUUCUGCAAAAGCAGGUGGAUUGGACUAGCGGAGGAGACUUUCUAUGUUUGUUUCAGUGAUCAUACCGAUGGCGUUUCUACUCUUAGCGCGUUUACUAAUCCGUAAUCAAAUUGAGAGGAAUUGAAUUGAGAAGGAAUUUGAUUAAAGAGGAAUUGAAAUAAGGUGGAAUCAGAAUCAGAUUCCUGUUGAAGUUGUUUACUAAAACUGUUUGAAAUCGGAGUAGGAAUUAUGUUGAGUUCAUAUAAAAUGUUUACUAAUUCACUUCAAUCGGAAUGAAAACUAAGUUUAUUAUUAUAUUACCCUUACAUAAAUAAAUUAUUUUCAUACUCUUUCUUUAUCAUGCCAAAUUCUUUUUUCAUCUCUUCUCUCUAUUUCUUCCAGAACCUCCUUCCUUCUCAUCCCCAAUUAUUUUUUUUAUUUUCCUUUCUCCAUCUUCUUCCCCGUCAUCCUUGCUCCCUGAUAAUCUUCUUACCAUCCCCAAAAGAUGGCGAGCAUGACGGGUUGGGUUGGCGCUCGAUGUCGGAGCGAACCUCCUUCCUUCCCCAAUUGUCGCCAAUGACAACCUGUUCUUCACCAGUUACAUCUUCGAAACCCAUCCUGAACCAGUCAGCUUGAGCCCCGUCAUCGCCGGUGGACGGGAUUGAGCAGGAGUCGGCCUCUGCUGAAAGGCAUCGGCCUCUGCUGAAAGGCAUAAGGACAGGGUUAGUUUGGGUAGAAAAGUCGAAUUCCUGAUGGAGGCUUCUCCACGGAAUCCAAAUACCACCUCUAUGGAGGGGAUUUGGAGAUUCAGGAGUUCAAUUCCUGAUUUUGUGUGAGCUCUACCUUGUUUCCGAUUACUGAAGUGUUUGGUAAACGGGUGAAUGCCUCGAAAAAAGUGCAAAUCCGUUUCUUCAUAUUCCAUUCCGGUUAUGUAAACAUGGCCUUAAGAGUUGUAAAAAUUUCGAAUCAGUCAAUGACAACAAUUGAAAUUAAAUGAAAAUAAAUAAAUAAAAAGGUGCUUAGCCGUUGUUUAUGGGGGUUGUAUCCUCUGCGGUCGCGAUUAUUUCACAUUCGGUACGCAGUCAGCAAUCCCUUCGUUGGAAGCAAAGGCAAAACGACAACGAAGGCAAAACGGAGUCGUUUUGGGCAUGUUUGCUUGCAUUUUGCAUCAUUUGGUUGACUCAAAGUCAUUACAAAUGUAGUAGAUGAAAGUAGACAUCACCAAAAGCGUCACUGAAAGCAAAAGAAAGCAUUAGCAAUAUCUUCUUUUUUUUCUUUUCAUACAAGCAACUUUUUAUUAUGAAUUGUAAUUUAAUUUGAUCUGCAAGAAAGCACUCGACUGAGUACAAGAGCACAUUUAUUUUUUACUCAAAGUGGUUAUGUUUAUGUCUACAAAACAAAACUCAUCAUGUAUCAACAACUUAUUCUCAUUAGAGCAAAUUUUAUAAAGGAAAUCGAACUGAACCAAAUCGCUCGCUUGGUUAGAAUCACCAAUUGAUGGGUUAUUGUGCCCACUUCUAGAGCUAACUUUGAAGUAGGGGUGGUAGUGGGUCGUGUCGAGGUACUAAUCAUUUGGGACAUUAUUCGACUCCUAAAUAAGAAAUCACUCCUUAUCCUACAAUUUUAUUUUUAGCAUAUAUACAUAAAUAACUUUUAAAAACAAGAUAUUUAUUAUUGACAUUUUAAAAAUCUAAUUAUACAUUUUACAAAUUUUGUCUGGAAAGAUAAAUACUCUUACGAAAAGUGUAGAAUUAAAUUUUAAAGUGCCAAUAAUAGAUUUCAAAAAGAAAAUAAGAAGAAAAAGUUUCUAAUGCACAUUCAAAAAAGACUUUUUAACUAAAAUGAUUUUUGAGAUUGACAUAACUUUUCAUUUUGGUAUUUGAGAUUUGAAAUCGAUAAAAGCAAUGAGUUUGUCCACCAUCAAUCAUUUUAGUCAUUUUGUGAAAAUUCUGUUAAAUAAGGACUAAAAUGAUAAAAAUACUCUCAAGUUAAUGAACAAUUGGUCAAAAUGAUUUGACAAGAAUUGAGAGUAUUUUUGUCAUGUUAUCUUUAUUUAAUGGAGAUUUUUUAUAGAAUGACCAAAAUGAUAGAAGGUGGACAAUCUCAGGACCACUUAUGUUGUAUGUGUGUCCAUGGAGAAAUUGUCUUUGUAAAACAGUUCAGGAUUUCCUCUUGUAAUGUAACUUAUGUGAAUCCAGACUAUUGAUUCGAAUUUUUCGGAUUUGCGUAUUCAUCUUGUCAUACUUUUUGCAUUCUGGUUUGUUUUUACUUUGUUUCUUUGUGAAUAUUUAGUACACUGCUCGUGCACCUCAUUAGUUGUUGUGAUUUUGAUUUGUAAUUUGCAGAAACGGGCAACUUCAGUAAUUAACUUCCAUAUUCUUUUCUUUUGGCCUUAAAAAUUUACAGCUUCGGAUUAUUACCAGAUUGAUGAUCUAUUGACAGCUGAGGAGCAGGCUAUUAGGUUGCGAGUAAGAGAGUGUACGGAGAAAGACGUUGCUCCAAUUAUGGCAGAGGUAUCCCUUUUACUCUAACCAUUUCUGCAUUUCAUAUCAAGGCUAUAAAAGUCGAUGUUAAAUUUUUUAAGGGUAAAUAUCAAUUUACUACUGUUUCGUGGUUUUCAACAUUUAGUACAUCAAUUUUUUUUCGUUCCAGAGUCAUACCUAAAAUGUAAAUUUUGGGACAAUCUCAUACAUCCGUUAGUCAAACUGUUAAGUCUCCCGUUAAGUGAUGACGUAGCGUCCAUGUGGACAAUGAUUGGAUGCCACAUGUCAUUAAGAUGUCCACGUGGAUUUUUCUUUCUUUCUUCUCUUCAGAGGUGACGUGGAUUUUUUUUUUAUCUCUCCUUCUUCUUCUUCUUCUUUUCUUCUCUUCCUUUCUCCCUAGAAUCCCCAUUUCGUUCUUCACCAUCGCCACCUUCAGUUCCAUCGACACAUACCCACGCCGGUGAGAGGGAUGGGAAAUUACUCGGUGGAGGAGGUGAUCGGUGAUGUGGGCAGAGAUGACGUGGGUGACGGAGGUGCGGAUGACGAGCUAGGAGAAAAAACCCCAAAUGUCGGCCUCCCUCUUCUAUCCUCCCUCGAUUACAAGCUUUUUGUAUCGACCUAGGUCAAAAACUUCAUAACCAUGGGGAUUUUCGCAGCUCUAAAGUCGGUCAAAGCCACAAACCCAUUUUCAAACAAUUAAAGGUAUGGAAAUGGAGCAUCAUUCCAAUCCAUUUUCAAAGAAUUAAAGGUCUGGAAAUGGAGGCGUACCAUGUGGGUCCCCACGUCGCAGAUAUGGAACUCGUACUUGGAAGGCCGCCUGAAAGCCCUGGUGGUGCUGUAGAUUUGGGGGGAAUUGGGAACUGGGUUUUCAUUUUUGAGCGAGAUGAAGCGAGUUGAGGAGGACAGAUGAGGCUGGGUUUUUGGAGAAGGAGAAAAGGCUUGGUGGUAGGGGUGGGUAUCAGGGAAAGGGGAAUGGUGUCGGUGGGUGAGGGGUGGAGGCAGUGGAGGCGAUGGGGUUGGGUUUUGAGAUGAGGAAGAUGACGGUUUGGAGCAGGAGUUGGUGAUGGCGAAGAAAGGAGAACGAACUGGGAAUUCAGGAUUAGGCCACGACGAUGAUGGGUUGUCUUCGGAUUCGGAGUUGGUGACGGUGGAAGACGCCGAAUCGAUGACCGGUAGCGGUGCUGCUGCUAGUACCUUUGCAACUUCUUGAGACGCAGUUGGAGCACUGGGUGCGGAGGAAGAGAAGGGAGGGUGAGAGGGUGGGCACAGGUGGGAUUUGGGGGAAGAAGGGAUUUUUUUUUUUUAAUUAAUUAAUUAUUUUAUUUUUUUAUAAAUAAUUUAUUUUUAAUUUCCACGUGAGGCGUCCAGUCAUUGUCUACAUGGACGCCACGUCAUCAGUUAAUGGCAAACUUAACAAUUUAACUAAUGGAUGUAUGAAACAGUCCCAAAUUUAAGACUUGAGGUAUGACUCUGGGAUGAAAAUUAAAUGUUGAAAACCACGAAACUUUAGGGUAGUAAACAGAGAUUAACCUAUUAUUUAAUAUACAUUCAUAAACAAUGAGAUUGAUCUGCGAACUUGUUGUUUCAGUACUGGGAGAAGGCAGAGUUUCCAUUUCAAAUUAUUCCAAAGCUUGGUGCAUUGCGCAUUGCUGGUGGGACAAUCAAGGUGCUUAAUACAUAUCUUAAUAAGUUAUUUUUAACUCUUGUGUUUGAUAAUUUGUUGGAUGGGUUGGUUAUUUCGCUUUUGGCCUUCUUUCUAUCAGGGUUAUGGGUGUCCGGUCUUUCUAUUACGGCAAAUGCUUUUGCUACAGCUGAAAUUGCUAGAAUUGAUGCAAGCUGUUCUACUUUCUUCUUGGUUCAUUCCUCACUAGCAAUGCUUACUAUUGGUUAGAAUUUGGAUAAUUUUAUUUUUGACCUUUUGUUUUAUAAAUAACCAAACCUUCACUGAAAAAUGAUGUUGUUGACAAGUCAAGACUUAUAACUAGUGUAACAUUUCUGGACUGUCAAGAAUAGCAUUAUGUGGGUCGGAGGCUCAAAAGAAGUAAUAUCAAUAGAAUUUUACGGCUUAAAUUUUCAUGUAUUGCAUAAUUGAGAAUAUAAUACAUACAAUCUUUAUUCUCCAAGGUAAACCAAAAAAGGACGUAAGAAUUAUCCUUCCUAAUAAAGGACUUUAAUAUUUACACAAUAUUUACAUUCCUAUUCUAAAACCAACUCACGCAACACUCCCCCUCAAGUUGGAGCAUAGAUGUCACACAUGCCCAACUUGACAAGUGAGUUACCAAAAACUCUACUACACACGGCAUGAGUGAGGAUAUCGGCAAGCUGCUCUUCUGAGUUCACAAAUGGUAUUGACACAAUCUUCUUCUCAAGCUUUUCCUUAAUGAAAUGUCGAUCAACCUCCACAUGCUUCGUUCUGUCAUGUUGUACCGGGUUCUUUGCAAUUUCUCGUGCAGACUUAUUGUCACAAUACAACGUUAUAGCCUCAUUUGUUUUGAAACCAAGACCCCAAAGCAACUUACGCAACCAAAGAACUUCACACACUCCAUGUGCCAUACCUCUGAAUUCAGCCUUUGCAGAAGACCUAGACACCACAUUCUGUUUCUUACUCCUCCAAGUAACCAAAUUUCCACCAACGAAAGUAAAAUAUCCAGAAGUAGAACGCAUAUCAGUCACAUCACCAACCUAAUCAGCAUCAGUGAACCCCUCAAUUUUUAGAUGACCAGAAUUUCUAUACAAGAUUCCUUUCCCUGGGGCUGACUUUAAAUACGCCAAGAUACGCAUAACAGCAGCCAUAUGAUCCACACUUGGUGAGUGCAUAAAUUGACUCACCACACUCACUGCAUAGGCUAUAUUUGAACGGAUAUGAGCUAAAUAAAGUAGUCUUCCCACCAGCCUCUGAUAUCUGCCUUUAUCCACUGGUUCUUGAUUUGAAUAAAUCCCUAAGUGAUGUUUCUCCACAAUAGGCGUAUCCACAGGUUUACACCCAAGCAUAUCUGUUUCCCUUAACAAAUCAAGAACAUACUUCCUUUGAGACAAGAAAAUACCUUUGGACGAACGAGCAACCUCAACUCUCAGAAAAUACUUUUAAGUCACCCAAACUCUUCAUCUCGAACUCGGCCGCAAGGUUCUUCUCCAAUUUGACAAUCUCAUCUGAAUCAUCCCCUAUUAUUAUCAUAUCAUCCAUAUAAAUAAUUAAGGCUGUUACUUUACCAAUCCUCCGUUUCACAAAUAGAGUAUGAUUAGAAUGACUCUGAUAAUACCCAUUCUUUCUCAUGGUCUGAGUGAAUCUUCCAAACCAUGCACGAGGUGACUGCUUUAGCCCAUAAAGAGACUUCCGCAAUCGGCACACUCCCUUUUUUCCUUUAUUAUCAUAUCCUGGAGGAAAAUCCAUGUACACUUCCUCCUCCAAAUGUCCAUGAAGAAAUGCAUUUUUUACAUCAAACUGUUUCAAUGGCCAAUUCAAAUUCGCAGCUAAUGAGAUUAGAACUCGUACCGUGUUCAUCUUAGCUACUGGAGAAAAAGUUUCCUAGUAAUCAACACCAUACGUUUGAGUAUAUCCUUUUGCUACCAACCGCGCCUUAUACCUGUCGAGUGAACCAUCAGCUUUGUAUUUAAUUGUAAAAACCCAUCGGCACCCAACUGGCUUCUUCCUUUUCGGCAACUCCACUACUUCCCAUGUAUUAUUUUUCUGUAGUGCCUUCAUCUCUUCAUCCAUUGCUUCCACCCAUUCUCGACUCUUCAAAGCUUCCUCUACUCGAGUUGGCACUUGAAUUGACUCCAUAUUGUUCACCCAAGCUUGACGUUCAGGUGAAAGGUUUUCACACGACACAUAGUUUGCUAUUGGAUACUUUCCUUCUCCUUCUGGAGAACCUGUCAGGAGGUACACCAUGAUUUUGCCUUGGUGGCAGUUUAUAUGUACUUAUAACAUCAUUAGUUACAUGAGUAUCACUAGCACUUACCUCAGGGAUAUUCAGAGAAGACGUAUUGGACGAUGGCACGAUUGAGCUAGAGAGAGGGGGGAAGCUUCGGUACAAAUAUCAUGGUUGCUAGCUUCAGCAGAUGCUUGUGGUAAGGCUGGCUCAGCCUCGGUAGUAGGUGGCUGAACACCAUCUAAAACACAUAGGUUCUCGGUACAAGUUUCCUCGGCGGCAAUCAGUGGUUGCCCAUCUAUAUCAUCUUCGGCAGGAAGCAGCCGAGACCCUGCUUCCUCCCUUGGUACGGUAUUGUCAUCUUGUGAUUCCUCCCUUGGCACGGUAUUGUCAUCUCCCCCUGAAGGAUGCACGUCUUGGACAUCCAACCACCCAAACACACCAUCAAGAUCACAAAUAACACUCUCCCCCUUGUGAUCGGAAGGUGGGAUUACGGGACUAUAAAAAUACUUGGAUUCAAAGAAGGUCACAUCUAUGGUGACGUACAUGUGGCGGGUCUCAAGGUGAUAGCAUUUAUAACCUUUCUGUUGGGAUGCAAAGCAAAGAAAAACACACCGAAGAGCACAAGGAUCCAAUUUACUACGAUGAAUCUUAUGGAUAUGAACAUAAGCAACGCAACCAAACACUCGAGGAGUAAGAGUGUUGGUAGAGACAACCAGAACAUGUUCUGUCAGAACUUGGAGUGGAGUACGAAAUUCUACAACUCGAGAUGGCAUGUGAUUGAUGACAUACACGGCAUACGUAACGGCGUCCGGCCAAAAACUCUUAGGUAUGGAUGCGCCAAUAAGCAAUGCACGAGCAAUUUCCAAAAUAUGACGGUUCUUCCUUUCAGCCACCCCAUUUUGUUGCGGGGUAUAAGGACAAGUGGUCUCAUGGAGAAUUCCUUGAUCUCGGAAAAAAGAAGAAAGCUCAGAGUUAACAUAUUCACCCCCGUUAUCAGAACGAAGAACCUGAAUAACGGAGGAAUAUUGUGUAGCCACCAUCUGAGAGAAAGACCGAAUAAUCAUACUAACAUCACUUUUAUGUUUCAACAGUUAAACCCAUGUCAUACGAGUGCAAUCAUCAACAAAUGUAAUAAACCGUUUAAUUCCCGAAGUAGUACUAAUGGGGGAAGGCCCCACACAUCAGAGUGUACUAGCGCAAAUGGAGAAGAUGUUCUAUUCAUACUCGGAGGGAAUGAAGCACGAUGACUUUUGGCUAGAAUACAUACUUCACAUUUCAAUUUUGAGUCUUCAAUACCACUGAACAAAUCAGGUAAUAUAUGUUUCAAAUAACCAAACGAUGCAUGCCCCAAACGACGAUGCAAUAACAAUACCUUCUGUAGAUUACUAUUACGUGAUACACGAACCAAAUUAGCUCUUCCAGGAACCAUGUCAUCCACAUAAUAUAGCCCCUCUCUUAGUGCCACGCCCAAUGAUCUCAUUUAUCUGAAUAUCCUGAAGCAAGCAAAAUGAAGGAUACAUUAAUACAACACAAUCCAAUUGUUCAGUGACUUGAGGUACAGACAAUAAGUGAUGGGACAAUGAUGGAACCAAUAAACAAUUAUGUAAGGGGAGAGAGGGUGUAAGAGACACUGUUCCCGCUCCAACAACAACAGUAGUAGAACCAUUGGCAGUUGCCACAUACUUUCUAUGAGGACGUGUCAUAGAUUGAAAUAAAGUUUUAUCAUACGUCAUAUGAUCUAUUGCACCGGAAUCCAAAAUCCAACCUAUAUUCACCAUUGUAAUAACUCACGAGACACUAAUACACGGCAAUCACAACACCACACCAAUUAUAGAACCACACGCUGCAAGGAAAAACAAGCAGCAGCACUUCAAAGACAAAAAAUUAUUGGACUGCACGCUGCAAUUCAAGCAGCAGCCAAUCCCUUUUUUUAUUAUCAACACUAGCAGCAAAUCCUUCUCGGCACAUCACAAUACACAUACGUACACAGCACACAAUCAGGUUUGCUGCAGGGAUGCAGCGACACCAACUGAAGACCUGCUGUGAGUGUUGUUCCCCUUCGAUAGUAAUAAUACAGCACACACGGGCAGCAGUCUUGGCUUGCUGCAGGAUGCGGCAGAGACCAGACUUGCCGGAUAUUUUUGUAUUUUUUUUUCCUGGUUUCACUGUAGCAGCGGUACGGUGGGAGCCUUAGGGUUACGGUUGGCUCUGAUGCCAAAUAGAAUUUUACGGCUUAAAUUUUCAUGUAUUGCAUAAUUGAGAAUAUAAUACAUACAAUCCUUGUUCUCUAAGGUAAACCAAAAAAGGACAUAAGAAAUAUCCUUCCUAAUAAAGGACUCUAAUAUUUACACAAUAUUUACAUUCCUAUUCUAAAACCAACUCACACAACAAUAUCUACCUUCUUUGGCUGAAUUUAGGACUGUCGCCUGCUGGGUAAGAUGCUCUUGUAUGAUAUUCGUAUCUAAUAUCUUUUUAUGCUAAUGUCAAGAUACUCAAAUCUGUUUAUCUGCAUGUUAAAGGGUUUGACUGAGCCUGACUAUGGAAGUGAUGCGAGUGCCUUGAGAGCGACAGCGACAGAGGUCAAGGAUUUCAACCUUCUCAUUUGCUUCUAUAUUUCUGUUAAAUGGUAUUAUCAUGCUCUUUUGGUUUUUGGGUGUCAUGGCUCCGAUCAUGCUAUAUCACGUAUGUAAGAUUGUGAAUGACAAUGAAUGUUGUAUUGAAUCAUUUUGUUGUAAGCCACUUGUCUAUCAAGUUGUUAGCCGCCAAAGUGAUCCAAUAGUCCUAACAUAAUAAGGAUUAUGGAGUCUUAUCCCUUGCAAUUAACCUAGAGGAAAUCUGAUAGAUUUUAUUACGAAGAUGUAGAAUCAUGGUGGGACUUAAACACUAAAGAGAUAGGGUCAAUCUUCACAGGCAAUGAUAGGUCGGGUGUGUUAAAAACCCUAACGAUAUAAAUAUCACGGUUAAGUCCCUACUUCCAUACGCUUGUACUCUCAAUCACGCCAAACCCUAUUCAUGGUAGAGAGACAUUUUGAAGUACUGGAAGUAGAAGACAACCUGUGAGCUCAAGCCACCAUGUCUCCAAUCGGUGCAGGUUAGUAUCAUUCAUCUUCUUCUUGUAAUUAUCAUGAUGCAUGUUAAAUUGUGAUCCUAGAACCAUGUUGUAUUAGUCCACCUUACAUGUGGUAUCAGAGCCAAACAACAUGACUAGAAUCCAAUUCAAAUAACUGCAUCGUUAUGGAUAAUUCAAAUCAUCCUAUUUUGCUUCCGUUGUUCUUAUUCUUUCAUGACUUAAUAUAGUUGUAUGUAUGAUGACCGUGUGCUGCGAUGUUAUUCAUCAUAAAGAAGCAUAUAUUAUGGCUAAUAAGUUUGGUGCAGAAACUUUAUAUACGGUGCAGGGUGUAGAUAAUACAAUCUGCAGGAGUUCAAUUGAAAUCCCAGCAUCGUUUGAUAUUGAGUGGAACACCAAUCCAGAAUAACGUCAUGGAUUUGUGGUCCCUUUUGGUUGAAAAUUACACUUUCAGUGAAGCAAUUGAAACGAAAUGUUUUAUUAGUCAAUUAUGAUAUGAUAAAUUUAUGACUGGUUUCUGAUUCAUAUCUGGAGAAGGAGUAAAGAAUUUUCUCCCUGACAUGUUUUCUUGACUGUGUUCUCUUCCGCGAGCUCGACUGUGAUAGCUAAUUUCAAAUUUCUAAGUGAGCCACCAUCCAGUUAUUAUUUAUCGAGCCGUUAUUCAGGUUUUGCUUCCUCGCACAUCAUCAAAACCCAGUUGAGAAUUACUCCCUGCUAGGAGAUAAAUUGGGGUUUGUCUUCUUGCUUCUGCUCAUUUUCCAUAAUACAUUAACUCUGUUGCAAACAAGGAUUGCCGCAUGACUUUAAGCUUAUUGCAUUUUGACUAUAUAUAUUGUCUUAAGACUGCAUGAUUGAAUAAAUCUGGUUGAAGGAGCCUUUUACAAUGGGCCUUUCGUAUUUUAAUUUCAAGUAAUACCAUAUAAUUUGGGUGAGCCAUUGUGAUCCUGAGGAGCUUGAGCUAUAUAUCUAUCCUGUUCACAAGUAAGUUUUCUGGGCCUUCAAUUCCUAAUGCCUAGAAUGAGCUUUCGAUGAUUUUCUCCAAUUACAUUUAAUUUCGUUUAUUCCAGUUUGCUGCAUAAAUUUUGAGUAAUGGAGUACAAGAAUAAUGGUAUGGCCACUUAGGCGUAUUAGUUGAUUGGUUUAACUAAUUUGAAUAUAAAUGCUUGCUAUGUUUUUCACAUUGGUUUUGCAAAUUGACUUUCCCAUACAUGUUAAUUAAGUUGAUGUUUACGCUUCCCUCUAUCGUUAUGCCUGUAAACACCCCUCUUCAGAAAUCAGAAUUUGUUUGAUUUCAGUUCAUGUUUGCAAAGUUUGUCCUUUGUGACCUUCAUCUUCAAACAUAAAAUUGCGUUAGCUGAGACUUUGUUUUUUGAGAAAUUUCUCAAAUACACACAAUUGAGAUUUUGGAGAAUUUCUUCAACGACUUCGUUUGCAAGUAAAUCUUUUGCAUUCUCUUGUUUUGCGAUAAGUACAUGUUUGGUAUGACCUAUGACAAAUUAUGAAUACUUAUGACAUGUUAUGAUUCACGUCAACUGACGCCUUGCUUGCGGUUUAGUGGAUUCAACUUAAGUUUAAUGUGUUUUGCUAUAUUUUGAGUGAGAAAUCAAUAGAAGUAUUUAUAAGUCAAAAAUAGGAUAUGUUGAAAGGCAAGAAACUCACAUGAAAAGGAAAACCAUUCAUGUCACUAACCUGGGCCUGAUAAACAUCCUAUUUUUAUAGAGACUUUCGUAACUCCUAACCUUAUGUAAUUGUUUUCUUGUAGUUCAGAAUAGAUUGUAUAUACUGCAAUUUUUCACGUUUUGGGACAUCAAAUAAAUUUAUAGUAAAGUGUUAAAGGUGAUACCACGCUGCUGGAAUUCUGCAGACUUCAGCAGCAAAGUCUGUUUGUGAUAUUAUUUUGACGUACUUCUGCAACUCCUAAAUUCAUGAAAUUUUAUUAUGAUAUAUAUUAAGAUGUUUAUUUUAAAUCUGGAAAUUUUCACGAGCAGUGGUCUGAAAAUGAAUUAUUGGUGAAGUUUUGGGUGACAAUGAAUUUAUGCGGCUUCUGCAGCACAUUCCAUUUCGAUUUUAUUUUUAGCCCACUUGUAGAAUCGAACAAAUUAUGGAAUUUUGGGUGACAAUAAAUUUAUAUGUCUACUUCAUUUCGGGAAAUUUUCAUGCGCAUUGGAGAAAAAUUGAAUUUUUUGGUGACUUAUUUAGUCUCCGGUAUGUACUGCAGAAUUUUUGUCGUUUCUGCAGCACAUCCCAUUUCAUAUUUUCUUUUAGUACACUUGUAAAGUGUCAAAAAUUAUGAAAUAUUGGGAAUUAACAGAUUUGUAUAAUUACUUAUUGUCUGAAAAGUUUCAUGCAUAUCGGAUGAAAAAUGAAUAUUUGGUGAAUUUUAAUCUUAGGUAUGUACUGCAGAUUUUCUGUAGUUUCUGCAGCACCUCUCUUUUCGAAUUCAUUUUUGGCUCGCUUAUAAAAUUUUAAAAAUCAUGAAAUUUUGCAAAACAGUAGUCAUAUAUGUCUAGUUCAUACCUAAAAAUUUUCAUGACAAUCUAAAGAGAAUUGAGUUUUUAGUGAAUUUGCAAACUACAGUGGUAUUGCUGAAUUUUUGGUACUUCAAAAACUAGUUAUGUUAUGCAAUAUUGUUUUCACUAAUUUGUGCAUAUUCAAUAGUACCAAUUGUUUGACAUGUUUAUUUGCUCUAAUAUGUCCUGGUUUUCAAUGCAAAUUCUCAAUUCUAAUGACUUUUAUUAGUCAACACUGAUUAAAUUUUGGUUGAAAAGUGUAUUGGUUUAUUUUGCACAAACCAAUGUUUUGUUUGGUCAUCAAUUUUAAUUAUGAUGAUCAUUGUCUUUUGAGACAAAAAUUGGAAAGUGGCAUCAGUUUACUAAUUGAUCAUUUUGGUCCCUAUCGAAUAACUGAAUAACCAUGUUUCCUCUUUCGAGAACUCUAUUGUUCAAUGUCAAACAACGACAUACUUUUUGUGUCUGAUUGAAUCUUUUGAGAAUCAUUGAAUAUCCAACAAAACGGUUAUUUAAUACUGCUCUAAAAGAUUAUUUUGAAAAAUCAAAAUUCUAAUUUAUAUGGUAAAUACUUUUUUCCCAAUGGGAAUUUCAGGAAAUCACUCACCAAUUAUAAAUUAGUAUUAUAGCAAAUCAUAAAAUACUUUUAACAUAUGUUCAUCUGGCCAAAGCUGUUGAAGCUAUAUGUAUUUUGUGUAUUUUAUGUUUUGGCUAGCUAUGCAGGUAUUUUCUUUGCAUGAUUAGUUUUUGCCCAAAGGUGUAACAAUCAUGCAAUUUGCUUUUGGUUUGAUCCUCCACAACUCGACUACUUCCAUGAUGAAUCUUGCAGAAUCGAGAAUGAGUAGGUAAAUUUACCAAUCUUUUGUCUUAAUUUUCUCUGAGUUCUAAAUUGGAUUAAAAUUAUUGUUGAAAAAUUGAUGUUAUUGAGAUAUCUAAGUGUUUAUUUUAAUCGACUUUGUUUUAGAAUUAAAACAUAAAUUUUGAGUUUGAAUUCUCAUAUUAGGUUUCAUUUUUAAUUGAUGACCUAAUCUUUCACAAAUAUGUGAGUCUUCUCUCGUACACUAAAAUAAAAUAAAAUUUGUAGUCAUUGCAUAAGUUUUUUAUUUUUUUUAUUUUUUUUAUUUAUGGAACUUUUAAUUCGAACCUAUUAAAAUAUAUAUAUAUAUAUAUAUAUAUAUGUAUUUGAUUUUUAUUGAUUCAAUUAGCCUAUAUUUUGUUAUAUGAAAACCACUUUCUCUGAUGUUUAAUCUUGCAAUUUUGAGUGUUUGCCCAAGUGGGAGAAAGAAUGUAUUAUGGGCUUCACACUCAUCAAUUUUGCAUGCUUUUAAUGGUCAUAGUUUUGGUAGAUAGAACGUACAUUAUCAUACUUGUUUAUAUUUUAUAUAUGCAACUAAUCUUGAAAGAAAUUCUAGAAGGAUUAAUGAGUAUAUUCUGCUUAAAAGUGUUUUGCUUAUUAAUUCUUGUUUGUUGUUCAAGAAAUUGGAGUUGUGAUUUAUAUGUUAGUUUGGAAUAAUUAAUCUACUCAAAAGUGUUUUCUUAUUCAGUACAACUAUAAAUCAAUGUAUAGUGAAACAUGAAAUUGACAAGAUUGUAUAUACUUCAUCUGCUCAAAAGUGUUGAAGCUAUAUAAGUUUACCCUUGUAUUUUAUGUUUUAGCUAUGCAAACCUAACAUAAUUAGUUUCUGUCCAAAGAUGAUUAUGGAAUUAUAUGCUUUUGAUGCGAUAAGAAAACAUUUAGUUAAAGUUUUCUAUUUCUGUCAAAUGUUAGAUGAACAAAACUAACCAAAUGAUUUUGUAUAGUUUUUCAGUCAUAAAAGUCACUUCCUUACAGAUAUCUAGAAUAAAGAUGUUGAGCUCACAAAUUUUAUGUUCUAGAUCCCAUGACUAAUGUUUUUCCAAUGGGAGUAUGUGAAAGGUAUUUGUUUCAUUUUGUAGACAUUUACAAAGUUUUGUUUUACUCUCUUAAUCAGUGGAAGUAAUAAUAAUUUAUCAAUAUAAUUUUGUCUCUGUUAAUCAAUGGGAGUAAGAGAUUACCUUUUGUGUUAAAAAAUUUGAAGUGUUAGUAGCUGAAACUUUAAGAGUAAAUUUUGUUUAAAUUUUGUUCAUCAAGUCCUGAUUUUGUAAACAAUAUGUCGUAUUUUACUUGUUCUCUUAUUAUAUUCUAAAUUCACAGAAAAGUUGGAUUUUGUUGCAAAAGAGUCAGUGAUCUCACGCCUAGAGACCAAGCCAUCACGUUGCAAACGCGAGUAUCUCUGAUCAACAUCAAAGGGGGUUGGCUUGGAAACUGAGAGCUGAGUAUUAUUCAAGGGAUUAUUCUGUAGUGCUGUACCUACUCAAGAUGAUGCCAAAGUGGCCCCUUGAAUAAGUAAUGAAGGUAAUCGUCCAUCAAACCUUUGGAAAGGUGCACUGUACUGCAUGAACAUGAGGAAAUGCUAACAAAUAAGAAUUAUAAAAGGGAAAAUUAGGUUCACAUUCUUCUUUUUGUUACUUCAUUGAUUAAAAUCCUAUUCAUUUUCAAUUUUUGAUCAAGGUCCUUGGGUAUUAAUAACAUCAUUAAUUAUUUGAAUAAUAAAAUAUUUUUAUUUUUAAAUAUAUUCCUUUAAUGUUAAAAAUGUUACAAUUAGUAUAUUUAUAUUUAUAGCUAAAUUUUGUUAUCAUAUAAUUUUAUUUUUAGUUUGUACCUAUUUUUAAUUUGCAAAUAUUUUUUAAUUUGUACCAAUUUUCUUUUCAUUUUUAAUUUGUACCCAUAUAUUAGUUCCUUUUUGUGCCCAUAUUUUUUAAAGUUUUAUUUGUGUUUGUACCCAUGUGUAUACCGUCACGUGACAUUGUAUAUUUAAUCAAUAAUAGAAAAAUUACAUAUGGUAUAUUUAUGUUUUAUGCCUAAACUUUGUAUCAUAUAUUUAUAUUUUCAAUUUGUACCCACUUUUAAUUUGCAACAUUUUUUUUUUAAUUUGUAGUAUUUUCUUUUUAGUUUUAUUUUGUACCCAUGUACUAAUUUCUUUUAGCGCCUAUAUUUUUAAAAAUUCAUUUGUAUUAAUAAAUUUUAAUCUUUUAUUUGUACCCUAAUUUAUUUCUAAUGUACCCAUUCUUCUUUAUUAAUGUACCACUUUGUUAUAUGUGAAAUGUACCAAUUUUUUUGUAAAAUGUACCAAUUUUUUUAACACUAUGGAUACAUUCUUUUGCCAUUUAUUAUUUCUUAUUUUUACAUAUUUUUUAUCCAUUUAUUCAAUUAAAAUGUUUGAAUUUUUUUAUUGUAACCGUUUCUAAUAGUAUUAUAAUGAGGGAUUUUAAAUUUAUAGGAUUAUAAAUCUCAUAAAAUAUCAAAUAAUUAACAAAACUAUAAAAAUAUAAAUAUUAAUAGUAAUAUAAUGAGGUGUACAAAGUCAAGGGACCUUGAUCAAACUUUGAAUAAUAUUAAGGUUUUAAUCAAAGAAUGUUAAGGAUUAGGGACCGCAUCCAAAAUAUCCCAUUAUAAAAACUAAAGUGAAUCAAACCCAUGGAUCUUAUGGGGAUUACCUUCAUAAAAGCUUAAGCAUUUUGGAAAGAAAAUUUUCAUUUAAAAAUAAAUUUUAACGUCUUUCUAUUCAAGUAUGUUGGCCCAAAAUUAAAAGUGAUAGAUGCUUUCAAACAGUUUACUUUGUACGCAUCAUUAACAUUACAAUUUUUUAGAAGUAAUGUAGAUGGAUUUGUUUAGUUGCAUCAGGCUCCUUAGUUUCCAACUGACAUGCCAAUUUAUGAUUCACUGCCCUUUCUUUUCAGACAAUAAAUCUAAAACAUUGAUAUAACCAAAUGCAUCCGAUAAAAAAAAACUACGUAAAUUUCCUAGGAGAGUUCCUGAACAGAAGAACCGAGAGAGUAUUGAGUUGAUCAUGGCUUUUAUACCUACCCCAGUGAAUAGCUGCUGGAAGAAGUAUCUCAGGAAUAAGCAAUAUUAUAAUGGAUUGCUCCGAAGCACAUAUUCUUCGAAUUCCUCACCGCAAGGACAGCAGCAAAGAGCACCCAUCUCUACAUUUCCACCAAUAUAUACAAAAAUGUCAAAAUUUGAGUUUCUGAAGACAAAUCACACUUAAAACGGGCUCACCAUCUCUUAUUACUUAUUCGCAGUGUAUAGUAAGAUCCAGUAUCACAUUCAUACACAAUAGUAUCUUGUACUAAAGCUCUUUCAAGUUUCACUCCAAAACCUCAAGUUACAGCUAUAAAUUAUAAUGACAUUCAUACAUGAUAAUAUUUAGUGCUAAAGCUUUUUCGAGUUUCACUCCAAAACUCAAGUUACAGCUUUGUAUUAUAAUGUUUCCCCUAGACAAUGAUCAUUCACAUUCAACAAAAGCAUUCCAACUGCUUCAUUGAUAAAGAUUCAUCAGCUAUUUAACUCUACAAAUAAGAUAAACAUAGAAAAUUUAAAAAGAAACAGGCACACCAGCAUAUAUUUUAAAACAAACAAAACCAAGUCGCAGACAAACUUGAUUUCUCAUCCAGCGAUCAAAAUCAAACCACAUCUAUAAACCAUGAAAUAGUAAAUAUGGAUAUAAAAUGUGAUCGUCAUCUAAAACUCGAUAAAUUAAUUGUCAACAUAAAAAAUUACCUCACAUCUUCACUUCCCUUCUAAUUUGGCAUCGGCGGGUUGACUUCUAGGUUAACGAAGUCCUGAAAACAGAAUAACGAAAAACGUUUACCGGUCCAACAUUUCAACAUGUGGUUUUGGUAAGUAUAACAUUUCAACAUAAACGUGAUAUAGAAGACAGAAAUCCACAUGUCAUUUCGUUUUUUCAGAACCAACAAAAAGGCCAAAUAUAAGAGAAUUGAACCAAUUUAAAACAGUAAAUCAGUCUCCCAAUAAAAGAGAACAUAAGCAUGAUAUACAAAGAUCGAAAGGCACUUUUAAUUUGGUUUCCUCAAAAGCAACGAAAAUAAUGCUAAAUCAAAUUGAAUUGAACAGAGUGGAAAUGGGAUAGAUGAAGAUUUGAAAUUGCUUACAUCUCUAUCAUAUCCCGCAUUUCCCUUACAAAAUAAACAAUUAUGAAUACAGUACAUUAAAAUCAACACAGCAAAUAAAAACCCUAUUUUUUAAUAUGCUGAACAAUUACGAAUACAGAAAACCAUACAAAACAGUUCCUAAUUACAAACUUAAUACAUACAAUGGCCUAAAAAAAAAGGCAAAAUCUAAUAAAUUUCAUCCAAAUUCAAUAUUAUACAUCAAAGACACAAUCUUUCGAUAUCCUAAACCAAAAUUAUCAUACAAAAAACCAUAAAUUUUCCGAAUUCACAAGCAGCAAGUCAAUCUCUCAAUUCCUAAACAAAGUCUCAUAAUUCUAGAAUCCCAAUUGUAAUUGUCGAUAAUUUUAUAAAGAAAAUCAAGAAAUUAUACCUUCCAUCUACUAACGUACUACUCCUCCUUCUCCAUAAAGAAAGCAUUGAACUUUUCCAAAUUUUCUCCAGCAACUUCACGAAAUUGGUGACGUCCUUGGAAACCUCACCAGCUUCGCCGACUUUGCAUACUAAAUCUCUGUCGUCGGCCAAUAUGGGCUGUUGUUUAGUAGAGAGAUUAGUUUGAUUAAGAAUUAAUUCACCUAUUAUUGAUUAAGAAUUAAUCCCAACCAUGCCAGCUCUCCACUCUCAAUUCACUUACUAUUGAUUAAGAAUUAAUUCCUAAAAUUUAUUAACAAAACCCAUUACUCAAAAAUCCAAACUUCAUAAGGAAAAAAAAGUAAAUACUGGUAAAGCUCAAUUCAAAAAUGAAUAAGAAAUUGAAACUGAGAAGAAACACAGUAGGGAGCACCUUAUCGUCUUCAAAACCACCUUAUUCGGUAUUUCCUUGUUGAUGAUCUUGUCAAAUGUACAAAAACAAAAAUACAAAUUCAAUUAAUCAAACAGCUUACAAUAUUUCUGAAUAAAAAAGUGAUGGAAAAUAUACUGUUGGCCGAACAUGCGCCGUCUUCAAAAGCAGAAGAACUUGAGAUUCAAUUUGGGUGGAAAUGGGCACUGCUGGAAGGGAAAAGAACAUUAAUAAACCAAUACUAUUUCAACUAAACCUAUACCCCAACCAAGCAAAAUCAAAUGCACACUAAUCACAUCUAUAACUAUAGAAAUAGGGAACCAAACAGAUAUAACAAAUGUAAUAUCAUUGGUUCAAAAAUAUUAAAGGAACUAUAGGUCGUAGUGUGUAGCAUGCAAAAGUGCUACUACUCUGAAUUUCCAACAUGCUCAACAGAUCUCUAACUUUCCAGAAUUAUUUAAAUUGAAACUAAGAGAUCAUUCUUUCGCAUAAUGAUUAUUUGAGAUUCGCUACAAAAACGAAUCCAUAACUUACUUAGGUUUCAAAAUGCACUAUAACAUCCAUUAAUCUAAACAGAAUUGCUUGAGCAAAGCAAACAAUUCAAUCUCAUUCCUCCAUAAAUGACCUUGUUUUAUUACUUCAUGGGGCUAAUUUCUUCCGAAAGAUUCACAGCCAAUGGUUUCCAACAUUAAAAUAUUACAACAUGUUGAACACAUUAAACAAACAGUUUUUCCAAUGACUAAACAGUUUUAUUAAACGGCAAAUAAGAUUAUUUUCUUGUCACAUAAAUAGCGUUUACAAUGUAUCAAAGCAAGUGGUAGUUACUAAAAUGAAUACAUUAACAUACUCUUAUGGCAUAAAAUCUAAUAACCUAAAUAAUAGUGUUUCAAUUGAUAUCAACAAUCAGAAACAACACAAUUGCAAACAUAAAGUUAGGUGAUUUCAUGGUUAAAACCCAUGUAGACCACCUAGACAUAAAGAAAUAAAAAAUACAUGAAAAUUAGGGACUAACUUGAGCUUGGAGUCCACAUAAUGCUUUUAAGAGUAGCAAAUGUUCUUUUGGACUGAGUUCUGUUGGAUUGAGUUCCUUGUAAUGGGAUAUCUCCUCUCUGCACAAACAGCAAAAUGGUAAAAAUGGUUAGUCUAUUUAAAGAACAAAACCAAAUUAAAUACAGUGAAUGACGCUAAGAUGAAUAAAACUGAAACCCUGGACAACAAAUUGAAUGCUGGGAAGAAAGGAAAAAACAUGCAUGAAUAAAAUAUCUAAUUUUUCAACCACCCUUAAUUUAUAAUUAAGCUAAGCAAAUCACAGCAAGCACAACACAAUCACAACAAUAAGAACUUUCAAAUAACAUAACAUUUAUCAACUACUCAGCACAUGAUUUUCAAAAAUGGAUAACUAACCUGUAAUUUAGAAACUUAUGUCGUUCACUCGCUUACUGAUUAAGUCUCUUAAGUUUGGGAAAAGUAUUCCAUGAGCUGCAAAACACAGUGAAACAAAGAUCAAACAAAGACAAAAAGAAGUAGUUAAAUGAAUCAUAAUUUUGCCAAAAUUUAUGGCCAUAUGGUACAAUGGGGGAUUGUGACAGGCCAUGGAUAUUGAUGUUGACCUCAAACCUCACAAAUCAUAUAUAAUUCCUUAAGAACCAUAUGUAAUUUAUCAACAACAAACAGCUAAAAGCCAGCCCUGCAACUAAUUAUCUCACAAAUAAUGAUUGUAUGCAUAUCUAAGACAAAACUGAACCAGAUUCAAAGAAUUAUUCGGAGAGUUCUUUCAUAGCCUUCAUACGGUCAUCAAUUAAGUUUUGCAAAAUUAUGUCUCAUACAUUUUAGCAAUGAAAGAAACACAUAUAGCACUCAUACUCUGAACAAAAAAUAAUCUUUAAUUUCUUCUAAUAAUGUUCUUGAGGGAGAGAAUGAAACUGGAAAUUUAUAUUUUGGAGACUUUAGUGCACACAUACAUACCAACAUGUGCAAGGAAAGCAGUCUGAAUUUGAAUUGCACCUAUAUCCUCAAUUGGCAAUCCAAGAUUUUACCAUCUGUAAAAUUAGACUUUAUCAAAUUUAUGGAGUUUAAUGUUCCAUGAGCUGAAAUCCCCGUCAAAACAUGUAAUGAGGGGCGAGGAAUUACAAUUUCACACCAACAUGAGUCCUGAAAUGUUACAUAUAUAAAUCCUGAGUUCAAGGAACCCAAAAGCUGAAUUCGUAGCUUACAAAAAGAUGCAAACUUUUGCUAUACUAUUAAAAACCAGGCUCGUGACCCAUAAUCUCUAAGCAGCCAAAGAAGAAAAAAACAAAAAGCUAAGAUAUUGAAGUAUAAUUCUCAUAAGCACUGAAAAUUUGAAAAAGAACCAAACAAAAAAUGCACCUAAAAACAAGUUAUGAAGAUUGAGAGAGCAAAGAGGAAAUGUAAACAAAAAAUGCAUGUAAACAUUUUCUAAUUGUUUUUAAUUUCUAAAAACAAUUUCUAAAAACAAUUAGAAAUGUUUACAUACAUGUGAUAGGAGCAUAUUUAUGCGACUUAGUUAGCUUGUUCUUGUGCAUUUACGUUGUAUUUCCUUAGUUAUUUUAGUGUUUAAAGUUAUUUUUGUGUGUUUUCAGACUCUAAGUACAAAGUAUGCAAGAAGAUGCAUUUUGGAGGCCUUUGGAGCAUGUUUCGGGCUUGGAAUGGAUAGCAAAUGCAUGGGCAAAGUGGAUGGACGAAUUUGAGAACUAAAGAGGCCAAGAAUAUGAAGAAUUAUGGUCCAAAAGAUGAAGAAAACAGCCCAAAAAUCUGUCACCCCAACUUGCAUUCCUUGCCAUGCAAACCACAUAGAAUUCCCUUUGGAUUCCAUGCCAUGCUUGAUCACUCUUGUCCCCUACAUAAUUUCUAAUUUCAUGCUUCAAUUCAUUUAAUUAUUACACUCAAUUGCUUGAUACCUCUUGUUCCCUUCACUCAUUAGAUUUUAGACAACAUUUACAUCCAUUACAUGCACCAAUUGAUGCUCCAUCAUUCACAUUUGGAAUCCAAUGCCAUGUGCAACACAUGUUGUUGCACCUUUGACCCAUUUGUUGACACAUUUCACCUCCCUUUCCAUCUCUAUGCAAUGUACACAAUCAUUCAUGCUCCCUAGCUACAACACCACUCCAUUUUACCCUUCACACUUUGCAUCAUUACUUCAUGUUCACCCUUGGACCAUUGCACACCACACACACAAAUUGCCAUGCAUUUCAUCCUUAACCUAACCUGAUUUUCUAAGGUUUUUGGGGCCUAUAAAUACAUGUUUACACCCCUUGGCCAAAGGACAAUCCCCCAUAUUCAUCAUUUUAUCACAAAAAUUCGUCCAUACACACCCUAGGAAGCAAAACACCCCAAAAACACCAUUCUAGUGCCUAGAAAACAUAACAGCCACUCCACCUUCUUCCACCCUCUUUGCCUAGUUCUCCACCACCCUCCAACCAUCAAACACUCCUCCACACUCACCCUAAACCCUUCCAUACCAUUCCCCAUCCAUUCUACAUCAUAAAACUACCCAAAAUCUGUCCAUAACCCAAUCUGCCGCAAGCAAGGGAAAGGAGGAAUCUUGGAUGCACUUGCUACCAAGUUGGAGCAUUUUAGGUGUUUUCUUUCCUUUGAUUUUAAUGUCUAAUUUUAUGUAUCUUUGCUUUGUGAGUAUGAGGAACUAAACCCCUCUUAGUUAGGGGGUGAUUCGAAACUAUGUUCAUACUUGCAAUAUGAUUUGAUUACAUCCAGUUGUGAUUCAUAAGUUGUGAAUUCAAUUUACUUAUCCGUUCAUAUAAAAACUAAUUUGUGUAUGUUGGUUAAGAGUGCACGCUUAAUUUUCAUGCAUGAAUUUGACGCUAGAAUAUAAGGGAGUUUCACCUAAUCGUUAUAAACUUAUAUUCACAAGUAGUGAAGGUUGCUAGUCACAAUCACGUUAAGUAAACUCUUGGCAUAAGUUUCAUGCAAAUCAUAGUAACGAGUGCCUCGUCAAUGCUUAUGUUUUUCAUAGAACUUAAUGAUUCUUGCUUGUAUCUCUAUUAUGCAAUUCAUGUAGGGAACUUGUAGGGAAUGUUUUGGGUUGUCGUAUGCAAUCAUCCAACCUAAUAACUUGUGGAAAAAACUGAGGGUUAAUUAGUGCAAUUCACGGUUAAUUUGGGGCGUUGAGUAUUCAUAGCUUAUCGAAAAGCAACUGGAAAUCGUUUUGUAUGCAAGUGUGACAUAUGUGGAGAAGAACCUCCUAGCUAAUCUUCCAUCCAUAAGUUUCAUUCAAAUUCACUUACAAUCUGUUUUGUUUUACAAAAGUUUGUUUUUGUUUUCAAAUUCAUCAAAACCAAAAUCCCCCUUUUACUUUAUUGUUUCAAAGUGUUUAAUUUCUGUUUUGGUUGUGUGUUAGAGUGUUUUUGAUUCACCCAAAUUUGUCUAAGAAUUUGUUUACUUUGUUCUUGUCUUAAUUUAAUUAUUUUCGUCGAAAAUCAACCCCAUCUUAUUUCUUUGAGUCAUAUUAAUUAGAACUUGUCUUAGAUUAUGUUUUUAAGUGUUUUAGUUCAUUAGAAAACCAAAAUUUGUCCAAGUUUGUGUGAGAGUCCCAAAAUUGCCCAGAUUGUGUUUUUAAGGUAGUUUUGAGUGUUUAGGGGCUGUUUUGAGUCUUUUGGUUUGUUUUAGUGUUUUAAAGUAUAGUUUUGCAUUCUUUGAGUCUAGUUAGUGUUUUAAACUUUGUUUUCACGUUUUCAAGUCAGUUUCCAAGUGAUUUAGCAAUCCCUCAUAAUCCCCGGCCUAGAACGAUCCCUACUUACAUACUUUACUACAAUUGAUAAAAAGAGGGUUUAAUUUGUGUGUUUAGUUAUUUUACGCAUCAACAUGCAUGUAGCCUGUUCAAUUAGAUUCAUUUUAAAUAAGAACCAAACAAAAAAUGCGCCUAAAAACAAGUUAUGAAGAUUGAGAGAGCAGAGAGGAAAUGAAAUAGACCUCUAAUAGUAGUACUGCAGUUUGUAGAAGGUGCCCAGUCCUUAGUCUCUUCAAUUAGAUUAAUUUUAAAUAGGACCCGCUGCUGCUAUUUUUUCGACGUGGGACAAUCAGGUCCUAACGUUUCCCCAAUAGAAAACUCUAAAAUAUGAUUAUAUGUCAGAAUUCACAAACAAAGUCAGAGGAAACAUGAUGAUUAUUGAGCUAGUAUUGAAUAAUGGGUAUAAAAUUGAAACUUUUGGAUGGUCAGCGUUGUUUCCAGAUGAAAUUAAGCAUCCCAAAUAACCAAAACAAAUCAACUUAACAUAAAAGUAUGUAUUACCCACCUCAAAUCGGCCGGAGAACUCAUAUUGGAAUUUCUACCUUCCAAUUUUUCCGUAACCUUUUCCAUCUCAGAAUUUCUGAACAGGACAUGGAUUCUAUAACAUUAGAUAAAAUUAUCUAUACUACACAUAUGCAGAUCAAUUCCAGAUAAAUUAAGAUCAAAUCAAGGUAUGGAAUAUAUCAAUUUUGGGUUGGAAAAUCACCUUGAAAUUUCAGUGGACAGAGCCAGUGGCAGUCUUGCAAAUAAACUGAAAUGUCUUACAAAACACUGUUCAUAUGAAUAGUGUAAUUUCCCUUCCUACUUUAGACUAAAGUAAUACCACUUUGGCGAGAAAACCAGUCAAACUUCCCUCUGUCCAAAUCGCGAUUUCUCAUCGUAAUACUGCUGGUAAUGGAAGAGAACCCGAGACACCAAAUCUCGGAGGUCUUCAUCUCGGGCCUCGUCGAUCGUCUGCUGCUGGGCCGAUAAGAGCUCAUCGAGGAAGUGUUCUUACCGGACCGGCCAGCCCUCGUAGAAUGCCUCAAAUGUGUUCGAUGCAUUGCCGCUGUGAGAGCCGUUUGUCAUAACCAAAACAAAAACAGCAAAGCUUUCUGGGGCUUUAAUGGCAACGAAAAACAGAAAGGUGGGUGGGAUUAAAUAGGAGGUGGGAUUCGAAAGGUGGGGGAUUUCUUUUGGGAUUUUGGUUUUUGAUUUGCUUCGUGGGCAAGUAAUGCUAAUGGGUGAGGAUACUGCGAGAGCAAGGUUCAUGAAUUUUGUUUUUUCAGAGAGAGAGAGAGAGGAAACCAGAGGAGGUGAGGCUCAGACGGAGAGGUGUGUGCAGGUAGCCAUUAGAGAGGGAACCGCCCGGGGGGGGGUUUGGUUUGGGGCUGCCCGGAUGAUGGGGCAACACGUCUCGAGGCUGCCAAGUGGAGGGAUUGCGUGAAGCCAAGUCAUCGUUUUUGGGUUUUUUUGGAUGGGUGGGUGGGGGAGUUUAAACCCUCAGGGGGAGGGAUGUCUUUCUAAAGAGAUAGGAAUUUAUCGUAUAUUGUACAGUUAAAUUUUGUCAUGAUAUACGAUAAACUGAUAAACUGAUGUGAUUGGAGGAUUAUCGAGAUCCUCUCUAAAUAGGCAAUGUUUGCACUGGUGCAAGUUGGGGAAGUUGUUAAACGGCAAAGUACAAAAGAAGUCUGAAGAAGGGAUGUUUUAGUUGUCAGUUGCGGUUCGGUUUGAACUGGACUAUUUUGAUACGAUGGAACUCUUUUUUCAAUUGUACAUUAGGGCACGCUUACUUACUUUUCGGAUGUGAGUUAACAAUGGAUUUCAUUACCUUUUUAUUCCUUGCAUUUUAGUAAACGCAUGAUUUCAGGAGUGAAAAUUAUACUCAUACUUUCCAUUCUCGUUCUUAGUAAGUAAACAGACCACUAUUGAGUUGGAUAGCGGUUAACCAUAUUGUUCUUCCAUAUAAUAGUAUACAAUUUACUUGAGGUAGCAUUUCCGUUGCAUGAAAGACUCAUAUAAAGGGGAUAAUCUAUUCUAAGGGAGGGGGCUAAAACGACUUUUUGGAUACAACAUUAUUCUGCAUUUAAGUGGCUAGUUUAGGUCACACAAUGGGUCAACCACUUACUAGAUAUUAAACUCAACACAAAAAAUAACACGUUCUUGCUAUUAAUGUAAAUCAAACUCAGAACCUCAAACUUACAAAUGAAGAACAAUACCUAGUUAGACUAAGUUGAACUUGAUCUCAAUUUGUUUCCCAGUCCUAGUCACUAAACCAGUCACUAGCGUGUAUGAUGAUGGGAGAAAAUAAUAAAGUAGGGUGCAGGUGCAACUCCAAGCGGUUGCUGAUUGCAGUGCAGUUGAAGGGUAAGUGACAAAUUUGCCUUAACUUUUAGUGAUGAGAGAAAUUGGUUGUUGUGGAGCAAAAAAUAAUCAUAAGGCAAUAUGUGGAUCUUUGGGUUAAAAUGACAGAAUUACCCUCGAGACAUACCGGGAUGCCUACGUGCGAGAAGCAGGCAAUCAACCCUCAACCAAGUCAAAUGUACACAAAAUAGGUAAUAAUUCAAAACCUUUUCAUUCAUCCUUAUCAAAUCCUCUCCACAGUAACUUCCAAAUCAUUCCCCAUUUAUUAUAUUAAUUAGCUAAUCAAUUAAGAAAUUAUUCUAUUAAUUAGCUAAUUAAUUAAUUUAUUGUUCAAUUAUUCCCAAUUAAACACAAAUCAAGAACCUAGCCCACAAAAUGAACCAAGUGGCCGGUCAUUUCUCUCCCAAAGGGGCCGGCUACACCCCUAUAAAAACCCCAUCAUUCUCUCCAAAACGAGACUCCCAAGACUUUUGCUAAAAUUCUCUAAAAUUCCCAAACACUUUCUCUCUAAGUUCUAACUUUGGCAUUGGAGGUUAUUCGGCCAAAGCACCCCCCAUUCAUCAUGGGCGCAUAAGGCUCUUGGUCUUGACCUAAGGUGUUAUUUAUUUUGUAGGUGCAAUUUUGUCUAAGAACAAGGAGGAAGAAAUUUUCAUCCACAUCUGCCAUGAGAAAUGUUCAGUAGACAAGCUGCUUCACUGCUUGAAUUGAGAAAAUUGGUUCAUAACGUGUCCAAUUGCUGCAAGUGAUCAUCUUUUAAGAGAUCCUGGUGUUGCCAAUUGGCAUUUUUGACCAGCCAAUGAUGGUUGUGGUGGCUUCUAUGUGGCACAAAGAUAAAAAAAAAACUCAUUUAGAGGUGCAUUUCAAAUAACUAAAACCGUUUUUAGUGAAUUGGUUUUUUAACCAAAAUGGUCCCCAAUAUUUAAAAUCAAUAAAAGUAAUUCAUGUGAUUGUCAACCGGCAAUUAUGGUUUUCUGUGCAAAAUAUCAAGGAAAUUGAAGAAAUCAAUAGUUCAAGUGGAGGGGUUCGUUUAACAAAAUUACCCUCAGUUUAACGGAGAUUUUUUACGAAAUGACCAUAAUGAUUGACGAUGAGCAAUUUUAUAGACAAUUUCUAUCGAUUAUAAAUCACAGGAACCAAAGUGAGGAGUCAUGGUAUUCUCAGAGACCGUUUUAACUAAAAAACCAAACAUUUUAUCUAAAAGCGCUUUCAAUCGUUUUAAAACGAAUUUGGUUCUUCUUAUCAACUCAACAACUCAACAAGUCUCAAUUCUUUUAUGCAUGAAGUUGGAAAUCCAAUGAGGUUUGAACUUGUGUGGCGACCAACAAUAAAACUAUUUGUUAAUUAUUUAUCCUCGUUAGUAAAUUUGUGUUCUUCUCUUUGUCGUACAUGUCAGAAUGAUUCGUUGAAAUAUACAUUUAACAACUCUAAUGUACUAAAAAUGUAUUAUGCACAUACGUACAUAUUGAAAUACAUGUUUUCCAAUAAUCUCGCUCACGCAAAUGAUCUAAGUUCUUAAGAAGAGAAGUGAAUAAUAUUUUUGUAAAUUCACACUUAUAUGACUCUUCACAUUCCAUAGAGCUUGAUCGAAAUCUGAAUGGCUGGAUCAUCUAACAAAGGUUUUCAUUUGUAGACCAUAAGUUUUGAAUCGCAUAGUAAUGGGAUCUGUUCUUUUGACUACCCUAAUCUCAGGGGAACGCUACCUAGCCAAAAUCAAUAAGCGGGGUGUAUUCAAUUGAGAUUUUGAAAGAUUUUAAAGAGUAUAGCGUUGACUUACUGAGCAAUCUUUAGCAUGGAGUCCCCAAUUCAUACAUCCAUUUCACAAUUUCGGUAGAAGAUAAAAAGGUAAUGCCGAGUUCAUCUACUGAAUCUUAAAUCACAUAUGAAAUUGGAUUAACAAAGCUCCAAGAACACCGAGGAGUUCAAACAUCCAUAGAUGCAUGCCACAUACAAAGAUUACGAGUUAGAAUUAUGGAAGUCAUUAAUUCCUUAACUAGACUAGCCACAGAAUGAGAGUAGGUUGGAAACACAUCGAACGAGAAAGUACAACAGUCAAACAUACAAGCAGUAAAAGGCAAGUUUCCUAAGAAAAAUACCUGAUUGUAAUAUUGGCUAAGCCUCAAUGAUGAACAAAACAAAAUGAUUUCCCGAAGCUAAGCAAAACAUGACCUGCUAAUUAUCAUCUUUUCUUGAAACCAUACUUUUUGCGUUCAUAGAACAGAUCUGUUUUGGCACUUCCCAGAUUCACAAUUUUCGGGCAGCCAUCUCUAUCUUUCUCCUGCUGAGUACACUCUUUGCAGUAAUAAGCAUCAGAAAUUCCAACCCCUCCACAAAUAACACACCUUCCCUGGAAAGAUCCAUAGUUGCACUCAUCGCAAACCCGAACAAGCGUGCAAGGGCGCACAUAAGAGUCACAAAUUACACACUUACCGUCGCACUUUUCACACAACCUUCCAAUAGCUAUUCCAGGUUGCUUCCGACACAUAAUCAAGUCAGGAUGAUGCUUCGCCAUGUUCCUGCAACAACAUUGUAAAAUAAGCUUCUGUCCAGGGCCAAAUCACAGUAGAAACAGAAUCAAAAUGCUAAAAACUCUAUCCCCAAAUUAACUAGAAUCCUAGCCUAGCUGGCUGGCAGCCGACUUAGCUUUUGAGUGCCCCUCAGAUGCUCCUGCAUCAACUGAUAACGCUAAUGCACAUUCAAAAGUUUCGACACUCAACCAAUUUGCAAAUCUGCACACUUUUUAACAAUUUCAUUCCAAAUUGCAGGAUGUUUAUAUUCACAAAUCAUGCAACUAAUCGAUCAACUACGAAUAUUUGCAAACUCUUUUACAACUAUGCACAAAAAUAAUAAAACCCAAAAAAAUCCAAUACCCAAAAAACCCCAUAACUCCAAUACCCAAAAAACCCAAAAAAUCCAAAUUUUUUAAUUUCUAAUUACUCUUUCAACUUCUGGGUGCUUGCGAUGUUUGCCUAAUUCCCAUCACAGAAAAAAAAAUUGUGGGAAUUAAACAUGCUGUGAAAAUAGAUGAAACCAUUAAUAAAUUGAACAGAACAGGAACCCUAAAACAGGUAAUCGAAUGCGCAUUCAACUAGAAAUUUGAAUUUUAGAUGGAAAUAAUCAAAAUACAGCAGCAGUUUUCUACAUAGGCGAAAACUGGAGAGGAAGAACGAGAAGCGAAAAGAGCAAAGCUUACCGAAGAUAGCUGGAGAGGACUCGGAUGAGAGGAUGCUACUGUAAGAGGGGAUCGGCGCGAUUGGGGGUGUUGGGCUCGGCUGACUGAGAGAGAAUCGGAUAGGGGUAAUGUUUUUUUAUUUUAUUUAUUUGUACUUUUAAAGUUUCAAUUAAAAUUGUUGCUUACUAUUAUGAUCUAAUAAUAUUCAUCAUCAGUUGUUAGUUGAGAGGUUUUAGUGUGACUCUCGUUAAAAAUAAAUUUAAACCAUAUUAUUGUUAGUCAAAUGUAAGACUUAACCCACUUUUUCAAUAAUAUAAUCGUUUGUUUAAAAAAUUUCAUAUAACAAAAUUUGUUUUUCUUAUUUAUUAAUUUUAUGUUGUAAAGGCGAAUGAUCGGAUAUAAUAAUAUAAAUUUAUUUGUGGAAAACAUAAAUGAAUGGAAUAAUGGGGUUUUGAGUUAUACUAGCUUAUUCAUUUGCCUAUAAAUUCAACUCAAGCAAAUGUUUUAGAAAGAACAUGACACAAUAUAGAAAUUCAUGUAAGCGAUAUCAAGGCUAGAGAGAAGAAAAAAAAAGUGAGAAUUAUCUUUAUACUCCUAUUAUUUGAAAUAAUGAAAGCCUAAAAACUACAUUUGCAGUAUUAGUUUUUAGUUAAAUCAUGACCAUUAUUGUCAAUCUCUUUGAGUGUUUAAGCUUUGUUUUAGGAGUGUGCAAAACUUUGACAAACAAUAGGCGUAACGUCGGGUUUAACUGUAUCCACAAGGCUUAGUCGCAUAUCCUUUUUGCACACUGUAUAUGGGGCCGAAUAGAGUAUGAAAGACAUCAUAUUUAUAUGUGCCUUGAAGCAAUCUUUCAUCCUUCGUCACAACCAUGACCCACAUGCUACAAAAAAAAUAAAAAUAAAAAGAAAAAAUUCCAACAAAACUUGUGUAGUACAUGCAACCAUCUGGGAAGAAAUAUGUGACUAAAAUGUUCUAAACUACUCAAGCAUUGAGUUUAUCAGAUUCUAAAUAGGAUUGACAUAACCAAGACAACUACAAAUAGCUCUACACAAAUAAGAAUUUGAAAGCUUUAAGUCAUACAAAUGAAAACUUCUUCCGUUUAAAACAAUCGUUAACAUAAAAGAGGCAAGGUUCAAAGCGAUGGUAGGAAAAGUAGAGAAAAACAAGAAAUGAAAAACCACAAGCAUCAUAUCUUUGUCAUUCUUUAGCCUUCUUCAGCUUUGAGGUACGAGUCUCUAAUUGUACUCAUUUUUCCGACAACCAUAUUCAGAAGCAUUCGCUCCCUGGGUGAUAUUGCACAGCAAGAGAGUCCUAUCUGCAUCACAACAAACAAGCAUUCCUCUACCUUUUUUGCUUUCAUGACUCCGCGAUUGUUACGUCUGGGCAGCUCAGUCUUUUCGUAUCUGUCAUCGUUAACACUACCAUCAACUUCGAGGUCGAGGAGCAAUGAAGGGUCAACAACGUCCAUGACAUGGUCGGGCAAAGCCAUGGCUACGAAUUUGUAAAUGCUUAGACCUUCGAUGAACAUGUCAUCAGUAGGUGUUUUUCCCGUGAACAUUUCUAGCAAAAGUAUCCCGUAGCUGUAAACAUCUCCUAGUAUGGAAACUUGGCCUCCCAUGCCGUACUCUACCGUGACAUACAUAUAGACAAUAAGAUGUCACAUGCAAUGGACUAUUAAAAUUGAUAUCUUAUUUCAGAUUAUUGUUACUUGUUUCUAGUAAAAAGAGUCAAUAAUAUAUCUUUAAUAAAUAGAAUUUAAUUAGUUGGUUUUUAGUAAUAAGUUAAUAAUUAAGAACCGAAAAAUGAAAUUAGAAUGAUGGAAUCUCAUACCUGGAGGAAUGUAACCUAUAGAACCCUUUAGUUGCGAUGACAUUAUUUGACUAAGGGAAUGAUCAUUUGAUGCUUCCAAUAGGAACCUUGCUAAACCAAAGUCCCCAACAUGGGCUACCAUGUCUUCAUCAAGAAGUACAUUGCUCGGCUUUAGAUCACAAUGAACAAUGGACGUUUCACAAUGGUUGUGGAGAUAAUCUAAUGCAGAAGCAACAUCAAUGGCUAUGUUCAAUCUUUGCAUAAAAUUCAAUCUCUUACUUGGAGAUUGCUCCUUAUCUCUAGGAUGCAACCACGAGUCAAGACUUCCAUUUGGCAUGAACUCGAAGACUAGACUUUUGAAGUCUUUACCAUGAUUAUCAAUGCUCGAGCAUGCAGUUAUGAUCUUGACAAGAUUUCG
rnacentral:lncRNA from 1 species